rnacentral:lncRNA from 1 species
CCCCCCCUACCUGAUAGCUACUCCUGAUCGGAUUCAGGCUAGGUCACAGCCCUCCUCUGAAACUCAGGUACUUAGUUUCUGCUCCCUGCCGCUUGCUCCUCUGUUCCCUGGUUCCUUACCUUCUUGGUCCCGUUCUGCUCUGGGUUUGCGAGGGGUGCCUGCUUUCUCUGUGCUCCGACGAUGGAUGAACAGAGGAUUCGAUGAGCAGCCAUGGGCUUUCCCCCCUGGGGUUUGGUCUUCUUGGUCAGGUUAGAAGGAGAAAGCCCCAACCUUUCUUGCAGGAACCUUACCAGUUCUGAAAGGUUUCAGAGGGUUCUUCAGUUUCGUUUUGUUACUCAUCUUGUUCGAUUUAACUUGGGUAUCCAUUCUUGUUCAAUUUGACCAAGUACUUGUCUGAAUACGAUUUUCUAGAGACUGUCACCAAAAGAAAGUUCAUUCAUUUUCUCAUGGUUACUAGUAAAUUUUUGCUGUAGAUUUUCAGAAUCAGAAAUACUAUGACUGCUUGUUUACUUCAAAAGAAGAUUUUGCUUUUUUACUCUAGGCAUAGUAUCAGAGUUUCAGAGAGAUUCAGGACGAGGCUCUAAACUUGCUUCAUCUGUAAUUAUUUUUUCUACGCCGUGAUCAACGCAUGUUGCACCAUCACGUGGACUCAUUAUUCUUUUGCAGUUUUAUAAACAACACAUACUAGCUAAUCUAUUCCCCCUUCGUUUUCCUUGUGAUAUAAGCAAGCGGACCUGAAUACGAAUUGAUCUCUGCGGUGCAACCCCGUUAGUUGAAGCCAUGGGGUCUGGGGACUGGUUCAAGACGAUCAUCAGCAAGAAAAAAUCGAAACGGGCAAAGUCAAAGCACGCAAAGGUACACUCCAUUCCUCCUUCCUUUCUUUGCCAGCUUCGAGAAAGAAAGAAAAAAAAAGGAUAGCCUUUCUAAACCAUUUUCCAAGCCCCUACUGUCCUGGAUGUCCUGUACACCAGCUUGCCUUGCAUGCCUUCCAAGCAACCUGAAAAGUGAUGCCAUUCAUUCCAUUCCAUCAUUUGGAAUGGCCAGGACAAGUGGACAUACUAUCAUCUGAGCCAACUAGGCGUGCUGUUGCUGUGCUUGUGCUAAUCAUAAUUAGAAAGUUGGCUGUAAGGAAAGCUUGGUUUGUUGGUAGCAAUAAUGGAAGGUUACUGAUGCUGACUUGUUAGAGUUAGGUGCUACCUUCAGGAUAAGACCUUUCUGCAUAUAUGGAAGUACUUGGUUGCUCCUAAUUGGGCCCAUCAAAUCAAUUGACAGCAGAAAAUUAUAAAUCGUCUACUUGAAUAAUGACUAAUUGUAUAUGAUAAUAUCAAAGAAUUCUUUUUCCUUGAGUAGUUGAGGCAAUGUCAUAGCCCAUGGUUACUUCUUUUAUCUUGUAUUGCUUUAGGAUGUGAUGAUCUGGCUUUUGACAACGUUUUUUUUGUUUUAUUCAGUUGCUGAAAUUCAGUAAGAUGUGUUAGCUUAAAGUCUCACUUUGAAUUUGAAUCGGCCAUUUGGAAUAAUUUGACUAUUGAAUCGAUCUGUAUGACAUUUCGAAUUGUCAUUUCUUCCUGCAUUAAUAUUUUUGAGAUAUGAAAUUUUACUUGGGUAAUGAUUAAAUUAAUUGGAUAUGUAAAUUUAUUUUUUCUUUGAAUAGUUGAGUUGUUUACUAGUUAUGUCACGAUUUCUUGUUUUCUUCUGCAUAGCUUUGUGUGGUCUGUGUGGCACCCUAUAAGAAAUCGUGUUUAUCUUUUAUUAGGAAUCUCUACAGUUUUUGUUUGGUUCAAAUUUCAAAUACCAAAGUUCACUAUUUACUAGUCCUAGUUGACACGAUGGUGCUUUUUUUUGGCUGGGGUUUUGAAGUACCUAAGAAUUAUAUGCACCCAUAGCUUAAUUAACUGACAAAUAUUGUUCAGUGUUUUGAGAGAAUAUUGUACCAAUGAUUAUUAACUUCCAGCCGUUUUCAUAUAUUUCCUUUUGCCAAUGAAGCUCUCUGGUCAAGUAACAAAUGGAAGCAACCAGACAAAUCAGAAGUUAAAUGGCCCUUCUUCCAGUAGUGACGACCAUGAAGACAAUGCAGCACUAGAGGAAUGGGCUGCUACUCGCAUUCAGAAUGCAUUCCGGAAAUACAGGGUAACAUGAAUCAUGGCUGAUAUGGAUUGCACUACCGCUACAUUGGCUACUGAAUUGAGAUAUUUUGCAAACAAAUGGUUUACCUUUUCUAAUACUGCUCAUCGCUUACAUGCAGGCAAGGAAGACCCUGCGUUGUCUCAGGGGAGUCAAAAGAUUGCGUGUUGUCGGUCAGGCGAAUCCGGUUAAGAAGCAGACUGCUGCCACACUGAGUUACAUACAGUCUUGGAACAAGUUGCAGUCAGAGAUAAGAAACCGGCGUGCUUUCAUGGUCACCGAAGGGCGCAACAGGAAGAAGAAGCAGGAGAACCAAAUGAAACUUGAGGCAAAACUCCAUAAUUUGCAGGUGAGUUUAAGUUUUAAGCCCAAGAGCCAUUUUCCUUGUAAAAUUUUUUUUGCUCACCCUUUCAUCAAGUAACUAUACUAUAGAACUAAUUAUUUUUAUCUGAUGACAUUGCAUUAUUUUGUUUGUUUCCAUCUUUUAUUAGGUUGAAUGGAAUGGAGGUUCGGAUACUAUGGAUGAAAUACUUGCUAGGAUACAACAACGAGAAGAAGCAGCAGUGAAGCGUGAGCGAGCCAUGGCGUACGCGUUCAACCAUCAGGUUUAAAUUUACUAAUUCAGUAAUUCUGAUGUUGUAACUCAUUCUAUUAUAGAAAACCACAUUUAAGAUUCAAAUUACUAUAUAAUAAUCAAAUUUCCAUUCAAAAUGUAGACACAUGGCUUAACUCUGAACCCAAUCAUAAUUUGUUAAGAGAAUAGCAGCAUUAUGAGUGCACCUAACAGUGUGAAGACAAUGAUGUACAUCACCCUUUGGCAGUGGAGAGCAAGGUCUGCCACAAGUCUAGGAAACUUCAGCUACGAAGUCGGCAAAGGUGGCUGGGGCUGGAGCUGGAUGGACCGCUGGAUCGCAGCACGACCAUGGGAGCCGCGAUCCUUGGUCCACCCUGAGAACCCAAAGAAAGCACAGGCAAAGAAAGAGAACAGCGCAAACCCAUCAGCUCUCAAGCUGCAAGGCUCUAUUACCCUAAGCAACAAUAUCAAUGACCGGAAAACGCCUAAAAAGAAGCCAUUGCCUUCACCUUCUCCUACUGAUCAGAAGAAGCCAUCACCAUCGCCUUCUUCUGAUCAGAAGAAACCGGUACCGAAGGAGCAGAGAGCAAAGGCAGCUGGCACUCCUCCAAAACCAAAGGCCAAGGAUAUGAAGGGUAGCCAAGAGAAAAAGCCGCAGCAGAAAGUGGCUCCUUCGGUCAGCGCAUGAAGCUUGCUGCUGCGAAAAUGGUUACUGAUCAUGUAAGAUACAUCUUGUGAAGUUCUCUCGUGUUUAUCACUCAUACUUGUAUGUCUUCGCUUUUGUGUUUACGGUGAUAUGGGACCAGGAGUGUCCAAUCUAGAAUGUGCUUGGUUUGAGCGGUUGCGCACAUACAACAUAUCUGAUGAGAAAUGUUUUGGUUAGGACUUUAGGAUCUCUGUUAUUCAUUGUUGUGCUGUUGUAAUAAGACUUGCCUGGCUAUCUGCUUGAAUGGAAGGUCUUGUUGGAACAAAAUGUAAGCUCGUUCUCUGUCCAUAACAUUAGGAUCAAAUGGCAAAUCAGUCAUGUAUGUUUCAUAACUAUUUAUUCGAUCCAAAUUUGGAUUAAAUUCAAAUUUCAUGCAGAUAACUCUGUUUCCCGUAUCUCUAACAAGUUCAAAGUUUUCCCGCUGAACACUGCUUCGGUUGCAACAGCAGCUCCUGCAUUUCCUCUCUGAAACCAGCCAGCGCCGUGCGCUGCAGCGCGAUGAACACCUUGAACCCUCCCCGCCGCCGCUCAUCCCCCGCGCCGUAGGGCAGCAGGAAGCAGGGCUCCGUGCUCCCGAGGAUCCUCCACGAGAGCGGCAGCACGGAGUCGGGGCCGCCCCACCCGAAGUCCACCUCCCCAUGGCCGAGCCGCCGCCAGUCCGUGAACGCACUCACGGCUCCCGCCGUGACCCCAUCGUGGCGGUGCAGCUCCUGGAAGUCGACGUAGGAUCGCACGUACUCGUCGUCCACGGCCUGCUUGCUCUUCUUUAUCAGGGCGGCGGUUGCCGCCAGUGGCUGGGCGACGAGGUCGCAGGCGGCCAGGGUGACGUAGACAGGGACGCACACGUUGCCCCAGUACCCGUCGGGGAGCGGCGGGUCGACGAGCUUGCUGAUGUUCAUGGAGUACACCAUCUUCACCACCUCGCCGGAGCUGGUCCCGUUUGCCUUGACCCUGGUCGCCGAUCCACGAGCACGGUGAGCAUCUUGCUUUGAUCUGAAUUCUCCGACAGGUAGGGGAGGAGUGCUUACCUGGCGCGCCAGAUGAACGCUGCGACAACCUCGAAGGUCGUGAGCUUGACGCCAGCCUCGUCGGCGAUCCGCGCUCUCAGCGCCUCCACGCGCGCGUUGCUCACGUGGAAGCAUUCCCUCGUCAGCUGCCGCUGCUGUUCGCGCCAUUCCCGCACGGCUCCGUACGGCCCACACCGGGCGACGCCGCCGUCGAGCGCGAGGACGCGGUCGAACACCAGCGUCGCGACGCGCGGCGGGCGCCUCGGGCCCAGCAGCUCCCGCCGGUCCCACACAGGCGCCACCUCCGGCAUCCCCUGCCCCCGCGCGAACCGCGCCGCGGCGGCGAGGAACUUGGUGGCGCCCGCGCCGUCGCAGAGGGCGUGCGCGACCCGCAUCCCGAGCGCGACGCCGCCGCACGCGAACCGCGUGGCCUGGAGCGCGAGCACCGGGGUAUCCGCGUCGCCGUCCCCCGGCGGCGCGAGGUGGUCGAGCAGCGCCGAGCCGGGGCAGUCGGUGUCGACGUCGGCCGCGGACAGACCGGACUCCGCGAGGACGACGGGCACGGCGGCAGCGCCGACCACAACGUGGCCGUCGCGGACGCGGAGGCGGCCCGCGAGCGCCGGGAAGAGACCGAGCGCGGCCUCGAACGCGGGCGGGAGGACCGCGUGGGGGUCGAUGGACGGCGGGGGAGGUGGGAAGAAGCGGAGCGUGCGGAAGGUGACGUGGAGCGCGUUGCGGUCGGCGUCGAGGCCGGAGAGCGGGAGGGCCGCCGCGUGCUGCGCCGGGGCGGGUGGCGGCGACAGGCGCACGGUGUCCAGAAUUCGUAGUCGCAGCUGCUGUGGCUCCAUGGGAUUGGGAGGAGCGCGCGUGAGCCGCCGUUCGAGCUGGAGAGCAACUGCGUCAGUGGCUCAGUGCAGCGAGACACAGACUGACGAGUGCUGUAUUGUUCGGCGGCCGUGUGAGAGUUGGAUUGUGCGCCGCGGCGACGAAGACGACAACGAGCAGCAGGAGCUGUCGAUGUUUAAAGCUGUCAAAACAUGGAGGAAGUAGGUGCGGCAUGGCGGAUUGGCAAGAGCUCCGGCGAGGGGUUGGUGGAAUGUUUUGCGGUUUCAAGGGAGAAGCGACGUGGGAGCACAAGCGCCAGUAGUCCAACAGCACUGGCGGCCCUCAAGCAAUUCGACCAUGCGUUCGCUGUCUCCUCGGUCUCGUUACAGCGUCGAAGGAAAAAAAAGAGUAAGGAUGGAGACGGUGCUAUGUAUAUGCUGUUUUUCUCUAGUGUAAUUAAAUGAGUUAAGUAAAAAAAAAUAAAAAAAAUGUCUAACAAAAAGGAAAAAAUUAGCUAUUUGGUUCAUUAAAUUACAUUAGAGAAGAGCUCUUUUUGAUGGAAGAAGGAUGUUCUUAAGUGGUUUAAUUCAUUCAAGGGCAUGGCCUCAGUCACAACUGAUGAUGGCUCAUGCAGCCUGUCUCUUCUGAUUAGAUGUUUGGCAUGGCAUGGUACAUAUUGACCAGAAUUGUUCUCAUUUGUUAGGCACACGUUGGUACAGCAGUUCCUAGCUACCGAAGAUAAGUCUGUUUUUUCCCCCGUGUCCCUCUUUCAGUUGAAGCCCAUGAUAAGUACCAGUUGUUGAUCACUGAGUUAGAAGGAAUCCAUCCUAGUCACAGUAAAGACACAUGGGGUUAUAUCUGGGGAUUCAAUGCUCACACUUGUUGGGUUCUAUCACAGUGUCACCUGCUUACAAUUGGCUCUAGCAUUCGAGUUGUCUGCCAAAGAGAAAGGUCUUUUGGUUAGCAAUCAAGGACCAUGGGAGCUUUUGAAAAGGAAGAAUAUGAAAUUACCCAGCUAUAGUUGUGUGCUGUCAUCAGGAUAUAGAGGAAUCUCUACAUCAUCUAUUCCUAGAUUGUCCUUUUGCCGUGUCGUGUUGGAAUAUGCUUGGGUUAGCACAUUUUAUUCGAGGCAAUUUGCUAAAUACAAUUCUUUAGUUCAAAAAUCAAAUUCACAUGUCUUUCUUUAUGGAGAUAAUUGUGGCAAUGUUUUAUCCUAUUUGGUCUGCUCGUAAUGAAGUCAUCUUCAAGAAUCAGCAUCAAUCUCUGUAAUCUUGCAAAAUAGUUUUUAAACAGGAGCUAGCUCAAGUUAAGCUUAGAGCUAAGAGAGAUCUAAGUCUUCGUUACAAUUAUGGCAAUUCUGUAUAAUUUUCUUUAUUUUUUCUAUGUUUUUUAGCUGUAUCAAGCAGGCUUUGUUUUUUAAAAGUUUAAUUAAGUUCAGCAGCGGGCAACCCCUCUCCCUAAAAGAAAAACUGUUUGCCGUGGCGUGAUCUGAGCCGUCCAGUCACCCAAUCGAGCGGUCGCGAUCGAAGAGCGAGGUGUUAGCAAACGGAAACCGAAACAACGGCUCCCCAUCGCAAACGCUCUCCCUCCACUCGUCCCGUCGUCCGCUCCGGCCGCGCCCCACGCCGAUGCCGCCCCCGCCGCCGCUCCACCUCCGCCUCCGUCUCUCCCUCGUCCCGCCCCACCCUAUCUCUCCUUCUCUCCGCCAUGCCUCCCGCUCACCCUCCAUCGCGUCCUGCCCUCUCGCGGUGCGCCCCUUCGCCCAACGCCGCGGUGGGCGCCCGCUCUGCGCCGUGCGGGGCGGGGCCGAGGCCGAGGCGGAGGGCUUCGCGUGGCCGGAUGGGUCCGAGGAGGAGGAGCUGCGGCGGCUCCUGGAGCUGCUCCCUAGGGAACUGAGGCGGCGGGUGGAGACCCACCCGGAGCUCCCUGCGCUCGUGGAGGUGGUCAUGGACCUCGGCCGGCCCCCGCUCGCGCGCUUCCCGUCAGGAGACUUCCUCCUCUCCCACCGCCCCAUCUCCUUUGACGACCUCCGACAUGCCACCUCCCAGGUCCAGCCCAAAGCCCCAAACCAAGCGUGGCGAGUUAAUUUGCUUUAGAGUGACAAUGAGCUUUGUGCUAGGUUGGGGACUUUGGAGCGGAUAAUCGUGCUGGAAUCAGCCGGACGCUGCACCGGAUCAGCGCGAUUAGGAACCGGAAGGGCGUCAUUGUAGGCCUCACUUGCCGUGUCGGGCGUGCAGUGCCCGGGAGCGCUAAUUUGCUUCAGGACUUGGUUAAGGAUGGUGGCUCGUUGCUGCUCAUCGGCCCACCUGGGGUGGGGAAGACUACUGUCAUAAGGUAGGAUUGGGCUGACAAACUGGAUUUCGAUGCUGAUUGAGUAGUUGCGCGAUUGAGAAAUGUACACCAGCAACGAUCACAGAUGUUUUAUGUGACAGAGUACCAGACUACCAGUAUCUGCCCAUUUUAGCAUCAUGUUUUUGUCUUGUCAUGCAGAGAAAUUGCCCGUAUGUUAGCUGAUGACUAUAAGAAGCGGGUGAUGAUUGUCGACACAUCUAAUGAGAUUGGUGGGGAUGGUGAUAUUCCUCACCCAGGAAUAGGCAAUGCACGUAGGUUGCAAGUGCCUAACCAAGACAUGCAGCAUAAGGUCUGUCUGCUUUGUCCAUAUGGAGUAUAAAUAAUACAGUAGGCCUAUAAUUAGUAUUGUUCUUAGCUGUGCUUCCAGUCAAGUAAGUUAUAUAUUCCGUAUUGUAUGUGCCAUAGUGUAACUCAAAAGUCACUGGACCAAUUUAUUUGUGCAUUAGACACUGGCGUACUUUUUAGUUCAAAACUUGGUGUGUGUGCUGAUUCGUUUAUUCAAUAUCAAUCAGGUACUGAUAGAAGCUGUGGAAAACCAUAUGCCUCAGGCAAUUGUUAUUGAUGAAAUUGGAACGAAACUAGAGGCCAUGGCUGCAAGCACCAUUGCACAGAGGGGCAUACAGCUUGUUGCAACUGCCCAUGGUGUAACGAUAGAGAAUCUGAUCAUGAACCCCUCACUAGAGAUGCUUGUGGGAGGAAUACAGGUAAGGAUAUUCUGCAUCAUCCUAUUUCCCAAAAUAUUGUCUUUGGGAAAAUGACAUAGUGUACCUCUAUAACUUCAUUACCUGACUCGAUUAUUGACUUGGAAAUCUUUCAGAAAUCCAUUCAGAGAUAUAGUUUGCUGUUUCCUGGCUCUUGCAGCUUGAAAUGUAGCACAUCGAAUUAUUCAAUCAACACAUUGCCUGUAACAAUUCCAUGAUCCAAUAUAAGAGAUGAACACAUGGCAAGAUUGUUAUUAAUGGGUGUAUCACUGCUUUCUUGAUGACAAGAAAGUUUUCAGAAAUAGUUGCUGACUAGAAAUGGAAUAGGUAAAAAAUAUUGAGAGAAAAUUGACUUUAUUCGUAAACUAAGUUGUGUGCCUUGUGUACUCAUCAUUGAUCAUGACAUAGGCCAUGUACGGAUUUAUCUGUACUGUGUCUGAGUACAUGUGACUUUUCAGUUCUUAAAGUCUGCUUGCUGAAGUUUUUUUCUAUGCUUCCCAAAGGAAGACUUCAUAUAGAGAAAAAAAACUGUCAAAUGGUUGAGUGCAACCUAGCAACUAAUUGUUAUAGCCUAAGUGUAGCUUUCUUCUCAGAAAGCACAGAAGCACCUUAUGUGCAGUUUUUGUGUUACUCUUUACUUUUUGGUCAAAAGGAAAAACGAAGAUUUCUAAUCAUGCCCUUUCUUAUCUAAAAGAGUGUCACACUUGGUGAUGAAGAAGCUAACCGGAGAGGAGUUCAAAAAACUGUCCUAGAGCGCAAGGGCCCAUCAACAUUUACAUGUGCUGCAGAGAUCGUCUCGAAAAAAGAAUUACGUGUCCAUCGUAGUCUGGAAGCCACAGUAGAUGCUCUACUCGCAGGUUCUCACCGAUUUCUCUAUUACUUAGCUGCAUUGUCAUGUUAAAUUUAAUGCUGUUUUUUAUGAUAUUGAACAUGGAAAUGUGUAGAUCUGAUGUCACAAUGAUUCAUCUUGCACUUUUGUUGGUGCAGGCAAGCUGCCUAAUGUUGAAAUUCGGAAGUUGGGUUCAAAGGGAUUGAUGCAGGAAGUUUCUGUGCAAAAGGAACGAUCACAUCUUGGUAUCUCUGAUGCAACUGAAUUUGACCGUGACUCUCUAAGGAAUGCCAGAAGAAGCUUGGACUCUGCAUUUAAUCUUGACUCUGCUGAAGGGCAUAUAGAGAGGACAGACGGAGAUGGUUCAAGCUUGAAUCUAUAUGCAUAUGGGGUACGGAUGUCUUCAUAGCUCAUUCUUUUGAUCCCUAGUUUUCUGAGCAGUGCGCCCCUUUACAUCAGUAUGUAGUUCUCUGCACAGCGAUUUUGUAUACUGAGUGUGGCAAAGUGCUACCCACUCCCCCCUUACUAUAGUUGCAUCAUUUGAUAUGAACUAUUAGGGUAUGGUAGGUAUGUUGGUUAUAUAAAACCGAACUAUUAAGGUACGGUAGGUAUCUACCACUCAAAAGUAUGCUUAUCUGGUCAGUUACUUCAAGGCCUGAAUGAUAUUGAUCUUUGCUGUUUGUUAUGUGUAGUAGCACUAUUAGGGUAAGGUAGGUAUGUUCCACUGAAAAGGAUGCUGAACUGGUGAGUUGCCCAUAAGCCUCUAUGAAAUUUAAUCAUCCCUGAACCCUGAUAAUUUUUUUUUCUGGAGUGGUGCGGGAAGCCAAGUUGUCUUGUGACUUACUUAAUCUGCACGCCUACAUUUAAAAUUUGUGAUUCCUUUUAUUUGGGUGCACAGAUUGCAAUACCUAAUUCAGUAACUUACUAUAAUCUGUAUGCCUAUGUUUGUUUGGAUAACUGCUCCUGUCACUGCAACAAUAGUGGUUAUACCAUUUGGUCGCUGAGUUUUGUUCUAAAGUUCUUUUGUUAAAUUUUCCGAACUUAGUUUGUAACUUAUUGGAUAGGCUGUUCUAGAUCUCCGAGUCGACUGCCUUGCAAGCCAUUCAACAGCUGGAGUUGGAGGACAUUGUUACUUUAACUUAUAAUAUCAGUGAAGCUGAUGCAGUGAUCGCGUUACAUUCAAAGCUCAAGAAGAAUUCUCAGAUUCAGGCUUUGGUGAAAUCUCAAGAUAUACCGGUUUUCUUCGUGAAGGUUUGCCUUGCACAGUUGCCAUUUACAGGACACUUUUAAUAUUCAUGUUCCAGGAAUUCUUAUUCAGUAUAUUGGUUCUCUGUUCUUCACAGACAAACUCCCUGUCUCAAAUCACUCGGGCACUUCGUGCUCUUGUUGACGAUCACAUGGACGAGCUGAUAGACUACGAUGAUAAGGAAGAAGCAAGAUCUCCCGAGGAAACUGAUGCUCUGGAGGUACGCUAUCAUCUCUGCACAUCUAAACUCCUUUUUCGGCGGCCGUAACAUCGUUACUCGUCCUGAACAAAAGUAUCCAAUGGUUGUUCCCCGAUGUUUAGGAGGCAAGGCUGGCAAUCGAGCAAGUAGUGAUCCCGAAAGGCGAGAGCGUGCAGCUACUGCCGAGGCCAUCAAGCAUCAUCUCAUCCCAAGUGGAUCUCGUCGAAAGCUUCAGCCUCCAGUGGGAGGUCAUAGGCCAGGAGCCUCACGCGUACGUGACGAUCCUUCCGCACUUCGCGCCAAAAGAAGCUGAAGCUAUCCAGAAAGAAACCCCAGCGGCGGGGCUCGCCGAUUCAGAGAGCUCCGAUGACUUGGAUCAUGCCCAGAAUGGCAUCACCAGGCUACCUUUCCUACCCGAUUAGGCGCCUGGCGUAUCCUUUCAGUUCUUCGUGCCCCUGCCGUUGUACCUGCAUGUAUAUAUUCCAUUUAUUUACUAUCUUGGUAGUAACUUUUACCAGGAAGCACCUGCGAGGUUGCGUCUACGAAAGUGGAUAUAGUGCUCUUCUAUGCAUACGGUAUCUAUGCUCUGUUGUGGACUACAGUCAUAUUCAUGGAUGUCUGUUUCACCUUUUUUACAUGCUCUGCCAAUUCCCAAAGUACAUAUCCGUUGUAAUCUACCGAACAAGAUAAGCAAGCAUAAUCCGAUCUUUUUUUUUAAACGAACCCGCAGAAGAACUCACUGAAAUAUUAAAAAAAAAAGAUGACAGACAAUGUACAACCUCAGACAAAAGAUUCUAUACGUCACUAAGCUACAAAAGUAAAACGCCUCCCAAGGGAGACGGAUCAAAACUUGGAAAAUGGCCGCUCGAUGAACGUAGAAAGGUGUUUUGCCUGCCAUGAUCCACAAUGAUGCCUCGUCUUUGAUUUUCUAAAGUACCACAAAGUUUGUGGACUCGUGCUAAAAAACUCUUGCAUUUUUUUCUUCCAUAUUUCCCAGCAAACUAGUAUGAUUAGUGAGCAAAGGUCUUUUCUACUCACACCCGGGCGCAUUUGAUAUUGUCGUCCACCAUUUCUCAAGUGUCUCACUAGGUGGCCAUGCACUCAGGUGCAAGCCGUAGAUUUGUGUCCAGGCGACGAUUUUCUUCCAUAAGCACUUCGCGAACCUGCAAUCCAUGAAAAGCAGGCAUCAUGUCUCUGCCUACCUAGUGUGCAGGUUCCUUGGUUCGGCCAUUUUCGACCUUAUAAUCUGUCGGCAGUUCAAAUUCGAUUGUGAAUCGCAAGCCAGCUGAAGAAUUUACACCACCUCCGACCAUUACAUUUCUGCCGUUAACUACUAGUGGUUGAAAGGCUCCAUUCUUGUACCAGGUCAGUAGGUGCACUCGUCGUGCGUGCAUGCCCCGUCCUGGUUCUAUAUAUAAAACAUAGUACUCCGUACGUACAGCAUUUUGUGGGUUCCACGUAACAUGUUGGCUGCUAGCGACUUGAAAACAGCAGAUGCGCGCGCUUUGCUUGCUUGACUCCUGGCUGCAUCCAGACAUCAUCAUCAGUUUGAAGCGCCGGCUGAAGCUUCCCGCAUCACGUUCCGGAACGGCGCGGCGCGCGCAGCUCUCCUCGGUACGUCCUCGCUACCCGCCGCGUCCGGCCGGCUGCUCGGCGCCCUCGAGAGGCGAUGAGAUGCAUGAUGCCCGUACGAGCAGCCAUGACCAAAAGCUGCCAAUGGCGGGCGACGUUGGUGGCCGCCUGACCCGACGUGUGGUGACGCGCAUUGGAUCGGAGGAUGAUGCAUGGUAGUUGAGCAUAAGACGACGACGACCAUGGAGUAGAUCGAGGAGCCACGCAUGCGUAGGGGCCAUGGUGGGCCUUUGCCGGCCGCCAUAUAUAUUUGCUCCGUCGUCCGGCGAAUAGGGAUGUGAUGAUAUGCAGAUGCAUCUGUGGAAACUGACACGGAUUGCGGCCUAGUGAAGCCAUCGUGCGUGCAUGAACCAAUGUACAAUAAUAAAAUGGUGCAGGGAGAAGGUAGAAAUGCAUGUAGAGGAGGCGACGAUGAUCUAGCUACUAAUAGCCCAAUUUGUUAGUUUCUGUUGCUCGGCGAACGCCGGUAGAAACGUAAAAGUGCUUCUUUUCCAAAGGUGGGUUCGUUCUAGAUCGAAAGGCAAUGCCAAAAUUAAUGCUGACGUUUGUUAAGGGUUUCUUUGGUAGAGAUUCGGUCUACUAGGAAUCUUCUGAUAUAUAUGUUGUGCAUGUACGGUAACGACACUGGUUUUCCUCCUUUCUCUCUCUCACUGCACAAGGCGGAGCUCCUUGGCGUUAGUGAGAGAGGGAGAGGAGAGAGAAAAGAGGAUUCUAGCUACAGUAUAUGUACAUGUUAAAUUGAAGAUCAAUAUCAUUAGAUGAUCUAGCCUAGUCAAUAGAUCACAUCAAGUAUAUACAAUAAAUUAUAGACCUUGAUGUUCCAUCAUCGGUGGUGGAUCGAGUAGGGACGUCUAGAUGAGGUUGAUGUGGUUAUUCGGAGUUCGGAUAGCGUCGGCCUUUAGGACGCCAACAACACUGAUCAAUCACCUUGACCGAUGCCGGAGUUGGGGAAGAAGGGCGGCGGCCUUCGGGUCGAUCCAGCGCGCUCUUUAGAUUAGAAUGAGGAAGUGUUGGGGAACUGUUUCUCUGUUGUGUCAUAACUCAAAAAGAAGUCGAGUCCCCCUUUUUAUAUAGCGUUGUUUGACUCGGGGCCACAACCAUUGAUUGGUUUGGACGCUACCGAUUAUCGUGCAUACAUGGGAUUCCCUCACGAGCCUCUGACUAACUCGGUCAAGGGAAACGGUCUUUGAUCCUGUACUCCUUCGUAACGGCUCGAACAAGAGAUCACAUAUAUCCCUUAGUUUCCAACAGUACAGUGUCAGAUGUGGAGCCGGUGGAAUCCUUAUCAAAGGAACCUAAGGAGUUUAAUGGUGGAGGUGUAGUACGUGGAGAGCUCUUGUGUUACUGGUUAGCAAAUGAUCGUAGAGCAGGGCCACAAAUAAAGUUCUUAUCUCCAGAUUACGGCGCCGUUAAUUCGCGCGAGGUGAUCUCCGAUCGCGCGACGAGGAACUUUCCAACCGAUUGCUCGAUCGUGCGUGCGCGUGUGUAAGAGCAUCUCCAAUUGUUUGGAAAAAUUGACUUGGUAAAAUUUGUCAUUUGGCAACUUGCUAAACCUUUUGGCAAGUGAAUUUUCUUUGUAUCUCCAAUAGUUUGCUAAAUUGGGCUUGGUAAACACAGAAAAAUAGGCCCACAUAUACAUGUCCAACAAAAAUUUUUACGAUACCUGUCCUGCCGCGAGUCGCGGCGUCCCCGAUCGAGACCUCAUCGAACAUCUGUGGAACCAUCGUCCAGAUUUAUACUCGUACAAUAUAUGAUAUAGUUAUCCAUAUAUUUAAAUUUAUAUUUCAUCCAUACAUACAUCCAAUCACCAGCAGCAGAACCAGUCGCCAGCAGUAGCAGCACAAUCAAUCGCCAGCGGCAGCAGAACCAUGCAGCAGAACCAUCAAUUGCCAGCAGCAGCACAAUCGAUCGCCAGCAGCAGCAGAACCAAUCACCAGCAGCGGAACCAUGCAGCAGCAUUUCAGCAUCAUCCGCGCCCGGGAUUCCAAGCGACGCCGAGUGCGGAUACAUCCGCGCGCGACUCCGACGUUUUCCAAGUUGCAAAAAUAUAGCAAGUCCUAUUCCAAUCUAUUGGAGAAGGAUUUUUCUUCUUUUUCCAAAUAAACAAGGAUAACAAAUCAUUUUUCCAAACAAUUGGAGAUGCUCUAACGCUGGUUAUUCUCCACGAAUGAAAUCUGGCAAUCAGCAACGGUUUUUCUUCCUUUCCACACUUAGCAACUAAAUGCAUGGCUGACUGGCCUCUAUCAGGAAGCUAUAGCUGGCUGGACCAGUCAUAUAUAUAUCGUCCACUUGGAGAGCAUCAUCAAAAUCAAAUCAAAAUGUAAAUACGCAAAAGAAUCCGCUGAAAGUUCUGAUACAGAUUCCAGAGUGGUGUAAAAGGAAAUGAGAACUUACAUGCAACAUGGCUUAAACUAGGUCAUCACUGCGCUGUCCUCGAUCUCAAAAAGGUUUCAAUUUUUUCUCUCUGAGCUCACUAUCUAUCGUGACAGUGCGGCACAGAGGGGACCUCCACCUCCACCAUUGUAUUUUGCUAUUGCAUGCAGCAAUAACUAACCACCAGGCACCAGCUCAAGGCGUGCAACGGCAAUCUGCACCUGCGAAGACCUGCCUAUAAAUUCUCCAUCGGUAUCGUGUAACUACCACAACAAGCAAUCGAAUCGAUCGAAGCUAGCUGCCACACAGCCCACAAAGCUAGCUAUAGAUAGCUACUCCCACAUUCUAGGAUUCCACGAGGACGACGACGUCGGCGACCGACCGACGACCCACCGAGCCGGCCGAAGCUCCCGAUCGAUCGAGCUGCAAUGGCGUCCAUCACCAACUUGAAUACGCUGAUGAAGGUGCUGCUCUGCGCCGUGCUCCUCCUGUCCACGACCGUCGUCGUCGCCCACAGCCACAGAGAGCCUGACUGUCGUCGCCUCGUCGCAGGCAGCCACAGCAAGCCUGACUGUAGUCGUCGCCUCGCGGUCGCGGUGGUGGUGACCACGGGCGGCCGGAGAAUGCUGGGCGCCGCGGCUUACUUCGAGUCCAAGAGGGCGAGCCCCAGCGGGCCUGAUCCUCAACACCAUUAACGACGCCAUUUUAACCCUAGCUCUUGCGCCUUGCAGCUACGUACGGAUGACGAGGAUCUGCAACAGAGUUUGAUUUACGUUCGUAAACCCUGGUUUUGGCCUCAUCUUUUUCGUUUCUUGAACUUGGAUUAUGUACCUUCUUUUUACUGUACUUUGCUGUGUUUUUAUACUUUUCUUAAUAAAAUUCCUGUAGGGGCUGAGGCCCCCUCCGGUUUCUAAAAAAAAAAUCAUAUAUGUGUAGUCAUAGAGUGUGGAGUGUUGUACUGUCAAGGAAGAUCGAUUACUGAUGUCUAGUGGUGGCGACGGUCCGGUGGGGGGGGGGAAAUAAAAUGUAGGAUCCUCAGUUUGCUAAUUCUUUAAGUAUUCCAAUAAUAUUUGCACAUCAUUAGAUUCUAAGUACUUCUUGUGCUCACGACCAAUUGCAUUUCAUCCUUGAUAAUGGCACUUUGUUAGCUCUUCCGUAAAACUCCUUCAUGAACUCAUACACACCUAGGCUGGCUUCAUCUCGACUUCUCUUAUCUGACCAAUUAACAUCUUGUCUGCUUAAACACGCCGUCAUGUUGGAACUUCAGGUUGUGCAACUUAUUUGAACCAACAAGACAAUGAUUGUGAUCAAGACAACCUUUUGCACUUUUCCAAUCCCCUAUUUGCUAACACUGAACUGCAUAUGAGCAUCAUACAUGUCCAAGUAAUGUCUUUUUAUGAUGACUUGUUUCAUCGAUGUCCUUCGUUACUGUAUAGGUAUUGUACAUCUUGUAAGCAUUAUCCUCUGAAUCGAAAGCCAUACCAACUUUAGGAAUGAUCAAAGUUUCUCCAAUUUUAUCAACCUCCUUUUAUAAAAUAGAGUGACAAUUAAAGUUACAUAACCAUAAAUUCACAAUACAAAAUUUUCACAUGCCUAACAAAUGAAUUGACAUCACAUACUUGAUCUGCUUGUUGUGCCACACUGGUUCGGGUAACUCAGUGCGAUUCUACGACAACGGACGUUAACACAGGCAUGAUAAUUGUAUUCAUGUUCUCCUACACAAAAACACAUAUUUAACCGUUCUAACAACUACACCAUUGAAAAAAUAUAGUAUAUGUAUAAUGAUCUAUUUGUACCUACAGUGCAUCAUUAUAACUAUUAUUUGAGGAAUUCACUUUUGAUAAAGGAUCAUCACCAUCUAGAACAUCAAAACAAUAUCGAAGCAUAGUUUGCCUCCAAGGCACCGGUUAAUGCAAUCGAUGGCAUGCUGCCUGGAUGUCGAUUGCGCUAUUGCUUGCCGCCGCUCUCCUGUCUGAUUUUCCUUUGGUCACGCUACGCGUGACGACGGCAGCCCUGUUGCAUCACUGUGAAUGCAUCCCUUUUUCCCAUCUACGACAAUCAAAAUUGCCAAGCUGUCAUGAAGCUAGAAAAUGCGAGCCGAUGCCUGUUAAACUACGAGCCAAGGAAUCCUAUCGAGGCAUGGCCUUGUAUCAUGAUUCAUGAGUGCGGGAGGCCGAGCUAGGCGAGCAAUUUGGUUGCCCAUCCACACAUUGCCCAAUAGGGAGUAGGGACCAUCCUUACCCAAAUUUUUCCUAUUUUAGUACCUUGGCUUCACCAAUGAACUAGUUUUUUUCCUUUAACUUCACGAAGAACUUUGUCGGUGAAACUUAAAGUUAUUUUAGUGAAUUAUUUGACAAAACAAUUUUACAUGUUAAACUUUUUUAAAAAAAAUGCUCUCACAAAUCCAUGUAGGGCACACCGCAGCGAUUUAAGGGAAACAAAUAUUUUUCGCUUCACGCUACCACAGUCCCUUGCGAGAGUAUGUUUCAAUGAGCUUCACAUGUGAAGCUGAUGAAAUCAUGCCCAGGACAUGAACACACUCACCGAUAGUUCUAAGCACCGAUGCAAGGUGAAAGCUAUACUUAAUAUGAUUAUUUAGGUUUCCACCUAUAAGGCUACUACUUGGUUUAUAUGAUUAUAGAUUCACGCUACUUGGUUUGUAUAUUAUAGAUUCACGCAUACUUAAUAUGAUCAUUUAGGUUUCCACCUAUAAGCUGAUGAAAUCGUGCCAAGGACUUGUAGUGUUGUGAUGGAAGAAAAAGAUCAAGAUGUUAUCACAAUACUACAAGUCGAUAGCCUAGCACAAUUCUUUGGAUCAGAAGAGUCAGAGUCAAGGAUAACUCCUAUUCAAGAGGGGGAGGACGAUAAGGACAUCCCAACCGUGCAUGCUAGCUCAAGUAUCAAUGAUCCACCAUCUAACAUAAAAGAUACAAAUCGAGGGCCACUUACAAGAAGCUGCACCAAGAAAAUACAAGUAGGUAAAUUCAUUCCUAACUAAUUGUAAUUUCAACACUUUUAAGAAUGUUAUACUGCUUAUAUGUUCUAUCUUGAUGUUGCUUAGGUUUACACAUGAAGACAUGGGAGAGACAUGGCCUAAAGAUCAAGACACAGUGCUACAAAACAGCUCUGUCCGAAAAGAAACAAGGACGGACGACCAGACCCAAGGAAAAGUAAGAUGAUCGGACCCUAGAAAGAGACAACCAUACCUUUUGAUUCCCAACAGUUAUAAAGGUCCAUGAGGAUAUUUUGGAAAUUAAGGUUAAAGUCUAAUUCCCAAUGGAACUAGUUCCAAGUUUUUUGGACUCCCCAAUGUUGAGAUAUGUUUAGAUUAGACAAAAUAUUGAUAUAAUUUUCCAUACAAAAUUAUACCAUUCUACAACGUUUCGUGAUGCAUGCUACACAUGGCUAGAAAGCUUAUCGAGUCUACUUUCACACCCCAAACAAACAACUCAUUAUUUCAACUUCUGAAUAAAGAGUUAUGGCCAGAUUAGUGGAGACUGUUCGGGAGGGCAAGAGUCACGCGAGAGCACUUUGGAAAUCCAUCUCGUGGUGACCUUUCACAUAGCCUAUUUUUAGAAACUCUAUUUUGUUUUUAUACCUAACUAGGAGGGUUGCUCCUAGUAUAAGUACGUCCUACCUUUAAGCUAUUUGGAACCUUUGAUGAAUGAAUAAACCCCUGAUAUUGUAGCCGAGCUGUCGAGUAUCUUACUCAUACCAAGGUUUUUUUUGUUCUUCUUGGACUUAUCAAGAGAUCCUUCUAGGUUUCCCUAGUUCGUGCUCUAUAUUAUCAUAACGACUGCAUCAUUUUGUAUAGACUACUUCUGGAUUGUGGUUUUGUGGCCGUUUGAAGAUUGAGUCGAAGUCUUCGUAGUUUCGGUGUCUCUCUCUCCGUCGCUUUGUCGCAUCUAACCUUUAUCAGGUAUAAAGCUAGUUAUCCCCUUGUCCGCAACAAGUUAUCUUUGAUUCGUGACCUAUUGUCGUGAAGAUUGGGCCACCAUCAAGAAGGUUCAUUAUCAGAAGCUGGUUUAAAAAUACCCAUUUGACACAAAACAUCUUCAACCAACUCGUUAAACUGGUGGAGACGGUGAGAUUUGGAGGAGCGAGAAAACUGAGAGUCCUUUUUUUCUAGUGUAAUCAGUUGGUAUACGAUGUAUAGGCAUGUAGCUGUGUGGGCGGUGGGCUAAUUAACACAUUGUUCACAGUUGAGAUCCAACAAUGCGGGCACAAAUUUUAGCUGAUCGACUAAUUUUCUUUUAAGCACGUAUGGUGUGGCUAGAUCGAGCACAAAUGGAUGAAUCUCAAUUCAACUAUAUAACUUUGCAAGCUCUAACACACUCUAAAUGACUGGGUAUAGGAGUAUAUAUAGCCCCAACCAACUCAACUAAGCUAGCCGUUGGACGACCGUUGGGUAGCAUUUGUAGUGGGCAUGUGAUGUGUGAUAGCAUUUGUAGUUGAGCAUAAGACGACGACGUGCGAUGGAGUAGAGGAGCCACGGAUGCGUAGGGGUCAUGCAUGGCGCGGUCACGCACCAAGAGUCGAAGAGCGAGCGAGGCUCGCUUUGCCGGCCGCCAUUGCUCCGUCCGGCGAAUAGGAUGUGAUGCAGAUGCAGCGCAGUGGAAACUGACACGGAUCGCGGCCUAAUGAAGCUAUCAUCGUGCGUGCAUGAACGAAUAUUAUACAAUAAUAAUGGUGCAGGAUCGAGAAGGUUCAAAGGCAUGGAAGAAUCUUUAAAAAAAGGUAGAAAGGCAUGCAGAGCUCUCUGUUUGAUAUGGCUAGCUACCCCAACGAACGGUAUGUAUUGUACUCGAUCGGCAAGGCUGUCACUGUAGCUAGCUAGCUAAUAGCCUAUAGGGUUGGUUAGUUUUGGUUGCAUCGUCGUCGCCUUUGGCGUACUGUGCGCCGGUAGAAACGAACUAUAGCAUUACUAGAAAGUGCCUCUUUUCGUUCGACGACACUUCGACGUCGAAAGGGCAAUGCCGAAUUGGUCACGCGCGCGUUUUUAAGCAGCUGAUGGUGCAUCGGAAUACGUGGAGAGCUUUUGUGUUACUCGUUGGCAAAUGAUCAUAGAGCAGGACCACGCAUAAAGUUGAGAUAUACUUAGGCCUCGUUUAGAUGCGAUUUUUUUUGGAUUUCGCUACUGUAGCAUUUUCGUUUGUUUGUAGUAAAUAUUGUCCAAUCGUAGACUAAUUAGAAUCAAAAGAUUCACCUUGUGAUUUACAGACAAACUAUGUAAUUAGUUUUUGUUUUCGUCUAUAUUUAAUGCUUCAUGCAUAUGCCGCAAGAUUCGAUGCGAUGUGGAAUCUUGAAAACUUUUUGGUUUUUAGGGUGAACUAAGACCUUGUUUAGUUCCGAAAUUUUUUGGAAAAUUGACACUGUAGCAUUUUCGUUUGUAUUUGGCAAAUAUUGUUAAAUUAUAGACUAACUAAGCUCAAAAGAUUCGUCUCGUCAAUUUCGACCAAACUGUGCAAUUAGUUUUUAUUUUCGUUUAUAUUUAAAACUCCAUGCAUGCGUCUAAAGAUUGUGACGGGAAAUGUGAAAAAUUUUGCAAAAUUUUCUGGAAACUAAACAAAGCCUAAUUCGUCCGAGGUGAUCUUCCGAUCUGGCUAGCUCGAAUGCUCGAUUGCUCGAUCGCGCGUGCGUGUGUGACGUCAAGGCCGGUUAUUCACGAAUGAUAUAUAUCCGGCAAUCAGUAACGGUUUUUCUUUCCACAUACACUUAUUUAGAAACUAAAUGCAUGGCUGACGUACUGGCAUCUAUCAGGAAGCUAGGUGGACCAGUGUCACCAGUCAUCGUCCACUUGGAGCAUCAAAAUGUAUACAUAUAUAAAAAUAAUUCCUGAUCAAAAUUUAUAUGCAGAAGAAUCCGCUUAAAAGUUUGAUGAUGAUCCAGAUUCCAGAGAGCCAGUCUCACGUAAAAGGAAAUGGGAACCUACAUGCAACAUGGCUUUGUUAAACUAAGGUCAUCAGUCAUCACUGCGCUGUUCUCAAUCUCCAAAAGUCGUUUCAAUUUUUUUCUGAGCUCACCAUCUAAUCAUCUAUCGUGACAGUGCGGCACAGAGGGACACCAUUGCAUUGCUAUUGCAUGCAGCAAUAACUAACCACCAGCUCCUCAAUGCAUGCAACGGACAAACUGCACCAGCCUAUAAAUUCUCCAUCGGUAUCAUGUAACUGCCACAACAACAAGCAAUCGAAUCGAUCGAAGCUAGUAGCUGCCACACACGUACACAGCGCCAAAACUAGACAGAUACGUACUUCCUACAUUCUAGGAUUCCACGACGACGACGUCGACCGACCGACGACCACGUACGUACGUACACCAAGCCGAUCGAACUCCCCGAGCUGCAAUGGCGUCCAUCACCAACUUGAAUACGCUCAAGGUCGUGCUGCUCUGCGCCGUGCUCCUCCUGUCCACGGCCGUCGUCGCCGCCCGCAGCCACUUCGACGAGCCUGAUGAGUGUCGCCGCGCGGCGGCGGUGGUGAUCACUGGCCGGAGAAUGCUAGGCGCCGCCGUGAGCUCGGCCUCGGCGGCGGAGGCGGUGACAGCGGCGGCUGCCGUGAGGGUGCCGCGGCUCACUCGCCCCGCGGCGGCGGCGGCGGCCUACUUCGAGUCGAAGAGGGCGAGCCCCAGCGGUCCCGAUCCUCAGCACCAUUAACCACCAUUUUCGCUCUUGCGCCUUUUGUUGCUACACGGACGGAUGACGUAUGGAUCGGAGCUACAUACGGAGAUGGAGGAUCUGCAAUCGAGUCAGAGUUACGUUUUGUAGCAAUAAUAAUCAUAUACUAGUCACAGUGUUGUCUGUUGUGUUGUUCUUUCAAAAACAGAGUGUUAUUGUACUGUCAACGAAGAUUGACUACUACUAUUGCUAGGAGUGGCGAAGCCGCGGGGAGAAAAUAAUUUUUUUGCCCUUGAGCUUGAGCACGUGCUCUCCUGUUGCACCGUUAGAUGUGUACAUACUUUUUUUUUUCACGAAUGUGCGCCAAUUUCAUUAAGAGAGUGCAAUACAAACACAAGGCAAGCCAUGGAUUGCCGCACUUAAUGAUGAAAAGAAAAGAACGAAUAAAAGAGCAAAUAGCUCAAGCUGAAAUUACAAAUUAAGGGUCUGUUUGGUACAGCUCACAACAGCUUCAUGAGCUGUUAUGAGCUGUUUUUUUUGCCAAACACUUAUUUCCAAAACAGCUUCAUGAGUGAAGCUGUUUUUUCCCUCCUCUCACAAAGAUAUAAGUUGGAUGAAGCUGGAAAAAAGUAGCUUAUUGCAGCUUCUCUCUGAUUUCUCUCUCUUAACUAUGCAUGAAGUAGUUGGUGAAGCUAUUUUGCCAAACACUUUCUCCAAAACAGCUCAGCUUCAUGUAGAAAGUCACUCAUGAAGCUAUUUUCUAAAAAACAGCUUUACUAGUGAAGUUGAGCUGUGCCAAACAAGACCUAAGAUUGAGCGACCAGCGCACUAGUUGCAAUUUACACAAUGUAUAUAAGAGAGACAAUACUAAAGGUAAAAAAAUAUCUACUUUCAGCGGAGGUGAUCAAGGUAUAAUACAAAAAGAACCUCAAAUAAUGAGAUGCGGGUUCGAGUUCUUUUUGUUUGAUGACACGGGUCAUACCCACAAUGACACAUCACGAGUAGAUGUGGUACUAGAUUUGGGUAAUCUAAAGUAUAAUUACAUUCUAGUUGUUUUGGAUAGACUUAUAUUGAAUUUUAUAUUUGAAUGUUCAUAAUCAUGUGAUCUGUAUAAAAAUAUAAAAUCCUUUGGACAUUAACUCAGAGAAUCUGCCAAUAGAAUUUUAUUUAGAUUCUAGUUGUUUUUGGAUACACUUAUAUUGGAGUUUUAUAUUUAAAUUUGGAUGUUCAUCAUAAUCAUGAAUACUAUGUGAACAUCACAAACAAGACAAAUUAAAAACAGAAAUAAUAGAAAAAAAACAUGUAAUAGAGCAACAUAAAAAGGAACAUCUCAUGGAUAUUACUUGAACAACCUAAAAUAUAUCAUAGAACAUCUCAUAAGUACCAUUGAAUACUCAGAGAUAAUCAUGAAACACAUCAUUUAUAUUACGUGAUCAUCUGAAAACAUACCGUAAACACAUCACAUUUAUACUACAUAUAAACAUCAAAUGUAUGAAAAUAUAGGAAUUAAAAGCUUAAAAACUACGUAAUAGGAAAACGGACAAGGAAAAGGGGCAAGAAACAAAGCCAUGUAAGAGCAUCUCCAAGAGAUAUGCUAAAUGUACUAGCUAAAUCUUAUAAUUUAGCAAUUUUGUAAAAUACAAGACUUCUCAAAAAACAAGAGUUCCACAAGAGGUUGGCUAUUUCUCGUGUGCUAAAUUAAAAAGAUGUCACGUCAGCUAACUACCAGCCGAUUCCCAUCGGAUCAAAGCCUCGGACCUGUUCCUCACGCGUGAAUAGGAAGCAGGGACUCAUCCUGCGGCUUGGCUUCACGUUCAGUAGGACCAGGAGAGUCCAAUCCGGCGAACGGACCCGUUCCUCACACGCGUGUUGCCCAGGUUCCGGCUUCAAUCCACCACCAGGAGACGUUCAUCUUGCCGGCGACACGCUGCUGCUAUCGUGUAAGUUUUUUGAUACCUCAUCAUGUAUGUUCAUCUUUAGGUCACCUCUCAAUGAGCAGAUUCAUCUGUAGGUGUUCGAUCAUCACCUCGUCCAUCUGUACGUAUUUGAUCAAGCUAAUCAAAGGUUCACAAUGGAACUUGAAGAUGUAGUUAAUGAGCUGAUGGAUUCUUCAUCGUCGUCGUCGUCAUCGUCGGAUGAUGACGAUGAGGUAUAUGCUGCAGCAGAGCAUAUAAUACUAUCAAACAUUGUCAAUCCAGCAUGCCAUCGUGGUUCUGUAGAGGGACAUCGUGUUGUGAAUCGUGACAGGCAGUCAGGACACUAUGAAGAUUAUUUCUCAGAUAAUCCUACAUAUGGACCGAGCUAUUUCAGGCGCAGGUUAAUUUUCUCAUAUUUUAUCGACUCAUGUUAGUGUAUACAUGAGGCCUGAAUAAUUAUUUUUAUCUGAUGGAAUAGGUUUCGAAUGCGACGUCACAUGUUUGUCUGCAUAAUGAAUGCCGUUGAGAUGUAUGAUGACUAUUUCGUGCAGAAGAGGAAUGCGGCCGGAACCCUUGGACUAUCUUGUUUGCAGAAGGUGGUGGCGGCUUUCCGAAUGUUAGCUUAUGGAGUAGCAGCUGAUGCUAUGGAUGACUAUAUCCGUAUUGGGGAGACUACUGCUCUAGAAAGUCUUAGAAAGUUUGUCAGAGCUAUUGUUAAGGUAUUUGGACAUGAAUACUUGAGGUUGCCCAAUGAGGAUGAUACUGCCAGAUUACUUGAGAUUGGUGAGAGUAGAGGUUUUCCUGGCAUACUUGGUUCCAUUGAUUGUAUGCACUGGACCUGGAAGAAUUGUCCUUAUGCAUGGCAAGGUAUGUAUAGGGGACAUAAAAAGGAGCCAACAAUUAUUCUUGAAGCUGUUGCUUCUAAAGAUCUUUGGAUUUGACAUGCUUUCUUUGGGAUGCCAGGUUCGCAUAAUGAUUUAAAUGUUCUUCAAAGAUCUCCUAUAUUUGCAAGGCUUGCUGAAGGUCAAGGGCCACAGGUAAAUUAUAGCAUCAAUGGGAAUAGUUAUACUAUGGGUUACUAUCUAGCAGAUGGUAUAUAUCCAUCUUGGGCCACAUUUGUGAAGACCAUACCUGAGCCACAGGGUAAUAAGAACAAAUAUUUUGCAAAAGCACAAGAAGCUUGUAGGAAGGAUGUCGAACGAGCAUUUGGUGUUCUACAAGCUCGUUUUGCCAUUGUUCGAGCGCCGGCACGCGUGUGGGAUGAGGAUAUAAUUCAACUUGUCAUGACGGUUUGUAUCAUUAUGCACAAUAUGAUUGUUGAAGAUGAGGGAGUUGAUGAAAAAGAUUUCAAAUAUGAUGAUGUGGGAGAAAAGGUGACUGUAUCACACGAUGCUACACCUGAGUUCGAUGCAUUUAUGCAGAAUUACAAGAAGAUCAAGGACAAGGAGACACACACACAGCUUCAAGCCGACCUUAUCGAGCACUUGUGGCACAACUUUCCAGAUUUAUAUACAAAUAGUACUGUUGAAUAAUUUCAUUAUCACAACAUCAAGGCAUUAUGUAUUAAUUUGCAGACCUAUCUUCUUUGUUUGAUUUAUUAGACACUGUAAUAGUUUCAGGCUUGCCUUUCAUUUAUAUUGAAAACCUGAAUGUUUUUCCUUUCAUAUCAAUAUUUAUAAUUCUUUCUUCUUCUCGAUCCCGCUCAAAAUCAAAUUUUUCUUUGUCUAGUUUUAUCCUUUCUUCCUGCAAGGUAAGGGCUUUUUGGCACAUCUCUUGUUUCUUCAACUCCCUCUCCUCUUUCUUCAACUCCCUCUCUUUUUUCUUCAGCUCCUUCUCAGCAUCCACCUCUUUCUUCUUUGCCAAUAAAUAAUCUAAAGCUUCAAUGCUCGAACGCUGCUUUAGUUUUAGCUUUUUCUUCUUAGUCCCUAUAGGCCUCUCCACUGUGGUUAUUGUGUUUUCAGUCUCAGCAACAUAGUCUGCUACAUCAGCAGCAGGAGUUGAAUCAGCAGUGGUCUUUUGCUUUUUGCUGAAAGGUUUUUGAGGUCCAGUUGGCUGGCGCCUAUUCGUCCACUUAGAUUGGUCUUUGAGUAUUUUCCAGCAAUGUAUGUAUUGAAAAGUUCUGUUGAAUGGGUCUUCAUUCUUAUACAUAGUUAAUGUGUUUGCUUGCUGCAAUGGGAAACAAAGAUGACACAUGAGAUUCAGCAAAAACAUAUAGGAGAUUAGCAUGUGAAGGUAGGUCAUCUAACCUUGUCAUCAACAGAUGCACCACUCUGAUUUCGGCCCUCUACCUUUGAAACACAACCAGCAAAUAUGUUGCAGUCAUGUAGUAUACUAGACCACCGACUCAUUAGAGAACUUUGUGUGCGAUCAGAUUCAAAUUCCUUUUUUGAAUGAAAGUAAUUAUGUAUUCUUUUCCAAUAGGUAUCUUUUGAUUGAUUGACUCCUCUCACAGGAUCUAAACUCACAUUUAGCCACGCUGACACCAACAUCUCGUCCUCUUUAAUAGUGAAAUUUUUGGACCUUCUUUUAUUUCCUUUGACGGCAGCAGGGACCUCAUCGCGUGCUUGUAUUUCAUUAUGAGGUGAGAUAUUGUCAGACACUCCACCUGGAGGGAAACCUUCUAUAAUCAUAUCGGUCAAAGGUCUCCCUGAAUCCAUUUCGGCUGUAAAAACAUAACACAAGGAAUAUAUUAGAUGAUGAACUGAACAAGGAACAAAACAUAGUACAAAUUAAAGCCUAAUAAUUUUCUGUAGACUGAGAAGGUGUGCUUGCUCAUAUGUACUAUAAAAUGUAGCCUAAUAAUUUUCUGCAGAUUGAGAAGAUGUGUUUGCACAGAUGUAAUACAAAUUAAGUCUUAUAAUAUUCUGCAGUCUGAGAAGGUGCGUGUAUGAGAAAAUUUCACACAGAGUUCUCUCAAAAUUAAUUUUUAGAUGUACUACUGCAGCUUUGAUUUUGAACACCACAAGUUCACAUUGAUCUGUGCUACUGCCUACGGCUGCCAUUGUGCAUCAUUCAACCAGCAAUGGUACAGCGCUAGUAGUACUAGUAGUCUGAACUUUCUUUGGAUGGAAACCAAAGCUGCUUGAAGUAUAUAGAACUAAAAAUAAGUCAAACUCAUCCAUGAUACAAGCAACUAAAAUCUUUGAUCUUAGUUGGUUGGCUUCUUUGUGAACAUCUUUUACAGUGAAUUCCAGAUCUCGGGACAUGCCUAGGUUGCCUACUAGUUGGUUUAUCAUUCUUGUCUAAGGUUUAUUAUUCUUGACACUCAGACAUGUUGUUUUGAAGCAUUUUGUUGUCUGCUGAUGAGCUCCCUGCUAACUAUAAACUAUUGAGACUGUAAACACUAAACCAUCGAGCAUGGACCCCCUACAGUUCCUAAACGACAGUGAGAGACUGAGAGAUACGUACCGAAUUAGACUCACCGGAGCACACAUCGAGGAAUGGGUUCGACGAAGCAGUAGCAGAACUGUUCGGUGCAAGGACUUGUCGUCGCUGGCCUCCUUGCGCCGCAUUCUCCAACCAAGGGAGCACCACUGAGUCCUGCUGCUCCCAUCCGACGGCUGCCGGGAUCGACGAAGACGAGUUGUAAUCUCCCCAGCGCAGUUGGGAUCUCACAUUUGCCUGCUGCUCCCAUCCCAACUGCUGACGAUCCGCCUGAUGCUGCACCCAUCCGCCUGCUGCUCCUAUCUGCGUGAUGUUGGGAUAAUAGAGUGGAGCAGUUGGGAUCUCCCCGGCGCUCGACGGAGCUUGUCCAUGACGAAGCUAAUCCAGCGGUGCAGUGGGGUAGCGAUUAGGAGGAAGCGACCUGUCCAUGAGGAAGCGGCUCACAGUGAAGAGGAAAAAGGUAAUUCGGAGCGAGUCGCGAUUAGCUGCUCCAGCUGUCCAGCGGCGGCAGGAGCGGGUGAGAGGACAAGGCGAUGGACGGGAUGGGGAAUUGCGGUAUUCAGCGGGUCCGUCUGGAUUCCCACGAUGGGAAACUUCACAGCACGCGGGAAACUCUUCUCUGCGCGCGGGAAGGAUUGUGGGCGCGCGCGGGCAAGCAGACGUUAGCAAACUAUAUAGCAUAUCUGUUGGAGCUCAUUUUUUCCUGAAAAAUUCCAAAUAUAGCAUACACAACAAAGAUAGCAUAUCUGUUGGAGGUGCUCUAAUAGUAGAAAUAAAUGAAAAUAAGAAAGAAAUAUUGAAUUAAAAAGGAAAACAACAACCAAAUCUAAAGAAGGAAAAAUAAAAUAUAAUACAGACCAACGCAUAAAAAAAAAUAUAAUAAAAAAAUGUAUAGAAUAUGCAUACUACUAGAACAACAUAAAAUAUAAUAUAUCCUAGAACAUCUCACGAGUGCUACCAGCCCUGAAUGAACCCAACAGGGCACCAAUGUACUCCCUAUAUAUAGUCCGCAACAACUAAUCAUGAAAAACAUAAAAUUAAAAAUUAUAUAAAAAUAAUUAAUUAGAGUAAAUAAAUAUAAAUAAAAUGAAAAUAAGAAUAAAAACUCACAAAGAAAAGAAAAAGGGGACGGUGAAUUCAAAAAAGAUGAAAAAGAGAAAAACUCACGGACGUACUAGAACUGGUGUAACCCACAAAUAUACAAAAGACAUAGCACAAAUUUACAAAUUGAAAAAAAAAGAGAGAAGAAAUAAAAGAUCUAUGAUAUGUGGGAAAAAUAAAAAAGAAACGGGAAAGCAGGGAUUACACGAGAGAAACGACCCACGUGAACCGCGGAGAUACCGGCCCAAUUCGUCUCGGCAGCCCACUACCAAUCUGUGGAGAGAUGGUCGGCCGUGUACUCGGGUCUGGUCCGACCCGAAGAUUGCCGCUUUUCUUCUCCCGUCCACCCUGCGUCUCUCUGCUCGCGCUCUCGUCGAGCUACUAGGUGACAGCCGCUGCCGCCGCCCGCCGCUGCCUCCCUAAGCCACUUGCUCGGUCUAGCCUCGCCGGCUCCUUCGCAAGGUUGGCCCGUCGCCGGCGGCCAACACCCACCAGGUAUUCGCACCCCUUCUCUUCCCUGUCCGAAAUCGACCACCCGAACCCUAUUCGGAUCUGAUCUAGUUACAAGUUGAUACGAUUUUAUUAUUAUUAUUAUUAUUAUUUGCAAAAUUUAUUGGGUGUGUGUACACCAUGUCCUUUACUGUGUCUGGCCCCUGGUUGCGAUGAUGGGUUUGAUAUAUUUGUUGAUACUUUCAGGUUCAGAGAUGGCAGAGACGGUGUUCACCCCCUCUCUGGAAGGGAUGAAGCAUGUCAAGGCAGAGAACGGAGUCAUUCUCACCAAGCCCUUCCUUGAUGUCUGCAAGCAAAUCCUGCCUGUCCUGGGUAACUCAUUUGCUUCUCUGUCAGCUACAUGAGGUUUUGAAAUUUAAGUAGGAGUAGCUGCAUUGCUUAAUCUCUGAUUUGGUACCAUGCUUAGUUAAGUUGUGGGGCGGCAGCAGUGAACGGGCUUGAGUUAUUCCUCACGCGACGCGACACAUGGUAGAUUGAUCUUCUAAACAAGGUUUCUGAUAGCUAGACAAAUUAUCGUCGACAUGCCACCAUGGAGACACACACAAGUUUAUUUUGAUGGUUGUAAAUUUUGUACGCACAUCUGUGUGGUACUUCUGUUGAUCUUUGAAUCAAGCUUAGUUGUUGUCUUAAACCAUGGAAGAGCAAACCAUUGGGUCUUAAAAUCGCAGUUCUGUGUUCCUUUAUGUUGAGCUGUACUUGUGUUGCUUAAACAAUAAACUAUUUGUCAAUAAUUUUCCCUUUAUCCCCUGCUUUUGUGCACCAGAUAAAUUUGGAGCUGCUAUGGCACUUGUAAAAACUGAUAUCGGUGGCAAUAUCACAGUAAGCAAAUCUUUCUGCAAGAUUUUCUAUUAUACUAGUAACAUUCAAAGGUUAUCUUCCAUUCUUUUCUGUUGGUAAUAGCUGGGCAGUUGACGGCAGUGUUUAUGUUGUCUUUCAGUUAUCUAUGUUGAGAUAAUUGAUAUUGAUAGCUACUUUAGACUAUUCUGCCUCUUGCUUAGUUCAUUUCUCACUUCUGGAGCCCUUGGGGUUCCAUUUUUUUUUCUUUUUAAUUUCAAUUGACUCGAUCCUCUUCUGUCAGAGACUGGAAACAAAGUAUUCUUCAGAUCCAUCAAAGUAUGAACACUUGUACAGCAUGGUUCAGGAAGAAGUUCAAAACAAGACAGCAAAAGGUUCCUCAAGCUGCACAAAUGGGCUUCUGUGGCUCACGAGGUGCUUCGAUUUCUUAUUCUUUUGUCACUUUUCAUUGCAACUUGCUCAGCAUGCCAAGUAUGUGACUUUUAUUUACUCAAAAUUUUGCAUGUCAGGGCCAUGGAUUUCCUUGUUGAGUUGUUUCGUAACCUUCUUGAGCAUGCAGACUGGACCAUGACUCAAGCUUGCACUGAUUCAUACACCAAGACUCUGAAGAAAUUUCAUGGCUGGCUUGCCAGUUCUAGUUUUACGGUAUAAUCUUUCACUCUAUAUAGUGAUCCAUACAAGUGAUGGAAUUCUAUCCACAUUAGCAAUCUGUUUCUUCAACGUUCUUUAUUGAGAGAAUAUUAUCAACAUGUGAAUUCUGGAAAUGUGUGUCUAGUUUUCACAUGGACUGCCAACCUGAAUAACAAAGCAUCAGCGCAUGAUAGAUCAAAGAACAGCUUUGAUUUGUUUUAAAUCAGAAAAGUUCUUUUCAAGAACAUUUUCUUGUCACAUCCAGUUUUGUAUCUAUGACUUCAUCAAUCCAAAUUCUUCCAUCCAGUCUUCUCUCUUUGAAGAACUAAAAAGUUAAAACAGGUGUUUUCGCAAUUUCUAGCUACAGACGACAAACACCAGAUAGUCAUUUAGUUAAUUUGAACUGUCUACUGAAACCCUGAUCUUUUAAGAUUGUUUGCGUACUUUUAGUUAGAGUAUAUCUCUUUUAUUGGUGCUACCAUUUGUUGAUUUAUUUUUUGUGACUUAAAUGUUGAUGGCAGGUGGCCAUGCGGCUCGCUCCUAAUAGAGAUAAAUUUAUGGAGGUCAUUAGUGGAACUGGUGACAUCAAUGCAGAUAUUGAGAAAUUUUGCACAACCUUCUCUCCUUUCCUCAAAGAAAAUCAUGAAUUUCUGGUACGGUCUCUCCCAAUUCAAGAUUCGGUUUUGCUACUUUGGUCUCUUGUGAAAUAGCUCUUGAAGCUGCUAUUCUUGCAGGCGAGCGUUGGUCUUGAUGACAUGAAGGCUUCAUAGAGUAAUCUCCGUGGCGAUUACAACAAACAACAAAAUAAACAUGUCUUAUCAAUCUCAAGUGUUGCAGAGGAUAUACCUGUUUUCCGUAGCCAUCUUCCCCUUGAAAAUUAUACAGGGUCGUAAUAAUUGUCCGCAUGAUUGACCAUGGCUACUUACACAGCGAAUUGACAGUACUCAACAAAUUUACUUUCCAAACUCAGUCCCUUGUUACAGAAAAUUUACAUAUGAUUAUGUGGAACUCUUGUGUUGUAUAGUUCUCUAUCCUCAAAUCUUGCAACAGGUAAAUUCCUGCGAAAAUCAGAAACGUUACCACCUAGCAAAUAAUGUGUCUGCCACGCCAGAUGUUCACCUUUCUAACAAUAGCAGUUUUUCGAUUCUGGAUUCUUGCCAAGUGAUCUGUUCCUCGAAGUAAAUGUUCUUAAGUGAAUUGUAGUUACUCGGCCUUAAACAUAGCAUCUUGUUAACAAUGCCAAUCGGCCAGGUUUGCUGUUUAGACAUCAAGUUCUUGUGAAAUUCGAUAGCAGUUGUGCUGACUGAGUUGUUUUAAGUUGGUUGGUGGAAUAAUAAGGCCUUGUUUAGUUCACCCCGAAAUCCAAAAAGUUUUCAAGAUUCUCCGUCACAUCGAAUCUUGCGGCACAUGCAUGAAGCAUUAAAUAUAGACAAAAAUAAAAACUAAUUACAUAGUUUGUCUGUAAAUCGUGAGACGAAUCUUUUGAUCCUAGUUAGUUCAUGAUUGGACAAUAUUUGUCAAAUAAAAACAAAAAUGCUACAGUAGCGAAAUCCGAAAUUUUUUCGGAACUAAACAAGGACUAAGCAUUUGUUACGUGUGGAUGUUUAGUAAGGGCAUUGUUCAUUUAACUGUGUAUGCUUAACAGUUAACAUUAGGGUGCUACACGCCUACACUAACCGUCGCAAAAAAAAAAGGUACUACACUAACGAGGGUAGUUGAGCAAAGACAUAGUAUAAAGAUCUCUACCAGUGGAAAAUGACACAGAUCGCCGCCUAAACAAGCCAUCGUAAACAUGGACCAUGAAAAGGGCCGAAAGGCAGAUAGAUGGAGGACAGGAGGAGCUAUACAUACGUAUAAUACCAUUCAAUACUAAAACACGCUGGUUGUAGAAAGUUACCAAUACGUGAUUUGAAGGCUUUAGGCCUUGAAGCAGAUCGCUGAGCUAGCUAGGUAGCUCCCCCGUCCCACCGCCGGCGGCCACCCGGCCCCGGCGUCCACCAGCCCCGGCCGUCGGGCUCCCCGGCGCCCGCCACAAGUCGCAGGUUGCGGAGGCGCCGUCUCCCGACCGCCAUGGACCGUUCCCGUCUCUCUUGGGCUUUGCAAGUUCAGGCCGAGGAUCCCAUAUCGGGGGCAGCGGCCACCUUUCAACUGCCCCCUCUCGCCGCCGCCGCGCAGGCCUCCCUUGUGCUGCGCGCAAGCUCCUUGGACCCUGAGGCUGCACCUUUCGCCGGAUCUCCGCUUCGUCCCGGGGGAUGCUUUGCCUCACCGACUCUGAGGUGUUAGGUUGAUCUCAGGCCCAGCCCAACGGCUGGGGCCUCUUACCCCCUGGAUCGCGCCCUGAUCGGGGGCGCCCAACCGAUCCAUGGUUGGUGGGCCCCCGACGCGCUGCGCUAUAUAAACAGGAGUGGGGGCCGCAGGCACGUUUGACGAAGUUCGCCGUGCACACAACCCCACUCGACAAAUCCUAGGCCUUCCGAUCGGCUUGCGCAGUGGCGUCGGGAAGCACCACCGCGCCGCCUCCGUUCUACUACUACCCCGUCGUCGGUCAGUGCCGGUGGAGGCCCGAAGGACGACGUGAUCUACAUCGGCGCAGCACCUACACUCACACCAUGGACGUCUCCGGAUCUGCUCCUUCCACCAACGACGGUCGAAACCCUAAACUAUUGAUCUAUAUGUUUCUACUAAAUUGUAAUAGAUCUAGUGUAUGCACAUAUAUAUAAAUGUCACUGUAUGCAUUGUUUUAUCCCGAAACCCCGUUCAUCCUAUUGCUAGUAGAUCCUGUAGAUCCAUCAAUGGUAUCAGCCGAUCUAGUAAUAGAUCGGGGUUUUCGGGUUUUACCCAGCAAGAACAGCAAGUAGAAGGAGAGGAUUUUCGAAUUCCUAACCCUAGCGCUCAGAUCCAAAACCCCAACCCUAGCACAAGAACCAGAUCAGGGAAGGGGAUUUCAAAACCCUAACCCUAAACAGCAAGGGGAAGGAGUACCCUUACCUGGGACCCACCUAUCCCGACCUCGUCUCCGGCCGUUUCUCCAUGGCGGGCGGGACGCACGGGCAAGCUCAGGGCACCGCACACGAAACGCUCGACGGCGGCGCGCUCCGCAGUGAGCGAGCGCGCGCACCGGCGAGCGACCCGUUAGCGGCGCCAUCUCCUUCUCCGGCCGGUAGCGUUCUGCUGUGGGGCGCGGUGUGGGCUGGGGAGAAAAGCACAGAGAAAGAGAAAGAAAGGCACCAGCGGCUCCUUCUCACCGGCGUCGGGCCACCUCGGCCGUGGCUGCUGUAGGCGUUGUGCGCCGUCAAGAAGCAAGAGAGAGAGGGCGACGGCGGUGGCCCUGCUGCCGGGCACGGUGCCGGCGGCGGCGGCUCCCUGCUGUCCAUGCGCUGAGAGAGAGAGACAGAGAAGAGAGAGAGAGGGCGACGGCAAGAAUGAGGGCUAGGGUUUCAAGGGUCGAGCCGGCCUGGGGGUUUUGUUUCCCCGAAAUCGAAGGACGGCCGUUGGAUCUUGAUCAACGGCCACGGUCGAUCUGGGCCGCUUUUGGCCCAGGCGGGGGCGUAGAUUCCCGGCCCAGGCCCAGGUUGCGGCCUGGGCGCGGGGAGAGCAAGCGGCCGGCUGGCCAACUGGGCCAAAUUCGGCCUAACUGGGCCGCGAGCCUCCAGUCAGCGAAGAAGAAAAAAAAAAACAGGCAGGCCUGGGCGCUGCGCGCUGCUCCGCGCGCCGAGCUGGGCCGCAAGCGACCGUGGGCCGAAUCGUUGGCCGCGACAUGUUUAAGCACAGAAAUUUCUUUUUUCAUAUUCCAUUUUAUUUUCAGAAGCAUUUAAAUAAUGUUUUGCUCAGUUUUAAAUUCUAUUUAAUUUGCACCAACGUGUAUAUUAUCUAGAAAAGCACAGUCAGCAAGUUAUGCUUCUGAAAAUAGCAAAAAAAUUAAUGUUUUCCGCUGCGCAAGUUAUAUUUUAAUUCUCCUAUUAAAUUGAACCAACGGGACAUUUAAUUUGAGAAACGAGUUUUUAAAGCCCAGUAUUUUUGUGAUAUUGUUAUUUUUUGACCAACGUUAAUAAUAACAAUAUUGCAAAUUUCGAGUUCUAAUUUUAUGCAUAUAUUCUAUUCUGCCCAACGGUGAUUAGAAUUUAUGUAGAGAGUUAACUUUUUGUAUAUCUUGAUUUUGACCAACGUUAAAUUAAGAUAUGCAAUUAUUUUUUCCUAGAUUUAAUGUUAAUGUUCUCACUAUUUUCUCAUAUUUAAUUUCAGACCAAGCACUCAAUGCGAUGCACUUCAUCAGUGCAAUCCCAAAGCUGACGGGGCAGAACUAUGUUCUGUGGCGCGAGGAACUUGAUGCUGCUCUAGCACUUGCUGAGAUAGAUUUGGCUCUUCAGGAGCCAAAGCCCACUGAGCCAAAGGAGCCCGAAAGGGCUCAGAAUGAGACCGAUGAAGCUUUUGCUAAUCGGAAGCGAGACUUUGCUCCCAUCAGAGCAAAGUAUGAUCUUGAGAAGUACAAGUGGGAAAAGUCAAACCGCAAGUGCAAGAUUGUCAUCAAGAAAACCAUCACAGAGGGCCUAAGAGGUGCCAUCCCAGAAUGUGAGACAGCAAAAGAAUACCUUGAGAAAGUAAAGAAUCAGUUUACUGGUUCCACCAAAGCCCAUGCUUCCACCCUGAUCCAGAAACUCACUAACAUGAGGUUCACAGGGGGGAGUGUGAGAGAGCACAUUCUGAGCAUGAGCACCAUGGCAGCCAAGUUAGAGAAGCUAAAGAUGCCCCUUGCUGAUGGUUUCCUCAUUCACCUAGCUCUAAACUCACUUCCUAAAGAGUAUGAGACUUUUGUUGUUAACUACAACACACAGCCAGAGGAGUGGGAUUUAGAGAAAGUGAUUGCUAUGUGUGUGCAAGAGGAAGAAAGGCUCAAGAAUGCAAAUGGUGGUUCUGUGAACUUUGUGAAAGGAAAGAACAAGAAGCCAUUCUACAACAAGAAAGCUCCAGAUGCCUCCACCUCCCAGAACAAGGGAGGAAGCUCUUCACAGCCUAAAGCACAGCCAAAGCAAGACAACCAGCACAGGCAGGAGGACCCGGAUCGCUGUAGAUGGUGUAAUGAGACAGGGCAUUGGAAGCAUGACUGCCCUAAGUUCAUGAAACAUUGCCUAGUGAAAGGUGAGGACAUUAUAACUUUUGUUGAUGAAUCCUUAUAUCUAAGUUAUGCUAGAUCCACAUGGUGGAUUGACUCAGGUGCAACUGUUCAUGUUGCAAACUCUUUGCAGGGAUUCAGUGGAGGGAGAACCCUUCAAAGAGGAGAAAGACAGAUUAAGGUGGCCACUGGUGUUGAAGCUGAAGUUCAAGCUAUAGGAAAUUUAUCUCUAGAUUUAGCUAGUGGCUUCACCCUUGAGUUGCAUGAUGUUCUUUAUGUUCCCUCUUUAGCUAGAAAUUUAAUUUCAGUUUCAUGUUUGUCAGACUAUGGUUUUGAUUGCCAUUUCAGCAAGAAUGAUUGUAAGCUACAGUUAAAUAAUAAAUGUGUGGGUCUUGCCUUCCGACAAGACAAACUUUAUUUAUUAUCUUUGUCUGAGAAUGUGAAUGCUGAAUGUAAUAACGCUGAGAAUGCAAUACCCGCAGAUGCUAGCAAGAAAAGAAAGAGAAUUGAUUCCUCAUCGAAAUUAUGGCACUGUCGUUUAGGCCAUAUUUCGAGGGGGAGAAUAGAACGCUUAGUCAAAGAAUCAAUCCUCCCACCAUUAGAACUCUCAGAGUUAGAGCAAUGCGUUGAUUGCAUUAAAGGCAAGUUAGUAAAGAACAUAAAGAAAGGCGCUAAGCGAAGCAUGGGAGUACUAGAAUUGAUCCACACAGACAUCUGUGGACCUUUUCCAGUGACAUUUGUGGAUGGUUUUGAUUCCUUCAUCACAUUCACAGAUGACUACUCUCGUUUUGGAUACAUCUAUCCAAUCAAAGAACGCUCAGAAGCUUUAGACAAAUUUAAGAUAUUCAAGGCUGAGGUUGAAAACCAACUAGACAGAAAAAUCAAAGUAGUAAGAUCUGACCGUGGGGGGGAGUACUACGGUCGACAUACCCCUUAUGGACAAGUUCCUGGACCUUUUGCAAGGUUCUUACAGGAAAAUGGCAUAGUAGCCCAGAAUUCAAUGCCAGGGGACCCACAGCAGAAUGGAGUAGCAGAAAGGCGUAACCGUACUCUAAUGGAUAUGGUGCGCAGCAUGAUGAGCUAUUCCACUCUGCCACUGAGUUUGUGGAUGGAGGCCUUAAAAACCGCCAUUCAUAUUCUCAACAGAGUUCCAAGCAAGUCAGUACUUAAAACCCCGUAUGAGUUGUGGACCGGCAGGAAACCCUCAGUCAACCAUCUGCGUGUCUGGGGGAGCCCCGCUGAAGCAAAAGUGUUUAACCCAAACAUAGGAAAGCUAGACCCCAAAACAGUAAGUUGUCAUUUCAUUGGCUAUCCAGAAAAGUCGAAAGGUUAUCGUUUCUACUGCCCUGGUAGACAUACCAAGUUUGUGGAAACGAGACACGCUAGUUUUCUAGAAGAUCAGAUGAUCAGGGGGAGCAAGGCAGCGCGAGAAAUUAACCUUGAAGAGAAGCGGGUGUUCGUGCCCAUUCCCAUGGUGCAAGAACCCUACUUUACGCUGCCUGUUGUUGUUGGAUCUACACCAGUAGUGACAACACCUGCUGCCUUUUCGCCUAUGGCCAAUUUGGAACCUGUCCCUCAGGAGCCGAAUGAACCCAUAGUCGAAGAACAACAGCCCCAACAAGAGCAACCUCAAGAAGAAAUGCCAGUAGCAGAAACUUCUGGCAGACCUCAAAGAGCGAGAAAGUCUCCUAUUCCAGAUGACUAUAUAGUCUAUGAAUGCGAAGAAGUUCAGAUGGAGGAUGAACCCACUUCAUUUGAAGAAGCCAUGAGGAGCACCGAAGCAUCUAAGUGGCAAGAAGCCAUGGAAGAUGAAUUAAAGUCUAUGAGUACCAAUAAAGUUUGGGACCUAGAGAAAAUUCCUGAAGGAGCCAAAACAGUAGGCUGCAAAUGGGUCUACAAGGUGAAACGUGACUCCAAAGGGAACAUAGAAAGGUACAAAGCAAGACUGGUAGCCAAGGGUUUUACUCAGCGAGAAGGGAUAGAUUAUAAUGAAACAUUCUCUCCCGUCUCGAGCAAGGACUCUUUUAGAAUCAUAAUGGCCCUAGUGGCACAUUUUGAUCUAGAAUUGCAUCAAAUGGAUGUGAAGACAGCUUUCCUCAAUGGGGAUCUAGAAGAAAGAGUAUACAUGGCACAACCGAAAGGUUUUGUUGUGACAGGCAAAGAAAGAAUGGGCUGUCGCCUGAAGAAAUCCAUUUAUGGAUUAAAGCAAGCAUCCAGGCAGUGGUAUUUAAAGUUUGAUAAGACAAUCAGAAAGUUUGGGUUUACAGAGAACGUUGAGGACAAUUGCGUAUAUGCAAAGUUUAAGAAUGGGAAAUACAUUUUCCUAGUACUGUAUGUAGAUGACAUUCUACUAGCCAGUAGUGAUGUCACUCUACUGCAGGAAACCAAGAGAUUUUUGUCCUCAAAUUUCGAUAUGAAAGAUUUAGGUGAAGCUUCUUUUGUCUUGGGCAUAAAGAUUCACCGAGAUAGAAGUCGAGGGGUAUUGGGAUUGUCCCAAGAGGCAUAUAUAGAGAAAAUAUUGAAGAAAUUCAAUAUGCAUAAGUGUAGACCUUCACCUGCUCCUAUUGUAAAAGGUGACAAGUAUGGGGAACAUCAAUGUCCCAAGAGCAAGUUCGAGCGCGAUCGCAUGCAAGCCGUUCCAUACGCUUCAGCUGUCGGAAGCUUACAGUAUGCUCAAGUGUGCACACGCCCAGACCUGGCUUUUGUGACCGGGUUACUUGGUAGAUAUCAAAGUAAUCCAGGUAUGGAACACUGGAAUCUAGUAAAGAAAGUCUUAAGGUACUUGCAAGGCACGAAAGGGCUCAUGUUAACCUAUAGAAGAUCUGAUGACCUACAAAUAGUAGGGUAUUCAGAUUCUGAUUACGCGGGAGAUGAUAGAAAGUCUACCUCAGGGUAUGUAUUCACUCUCGCGCAAGGAGCCAUAUCAUGGAAGAGCUCAAAACAAACAAUAGUCACUGCAUCGUCCACAAUGUAUGCUGAGUUUAUUGCUUGUUAUGAGGCAUCAGGACAGGUGAAUUGGCUUAAGAAAUUUAUACCCAGUUUAAAGGUGGUCGACAGCAUUGAUAAACCACUAAAGUUGUAUUGUGACAACGAGCCAGCAGUGUUGUAUGCUCACAACAAAAAGUCAAGCAAUGCAGCCAAGCACAUUGACAUAAAAUAUUAUGUUGUCAAGGAUAAAAUCCGGGAUCACGUCAUAAGUCUUGAACAUAUAAGCACAGAAAAGAUGCUAGCGGAUCCGCUUACCAAAGGCUUACCGCCCAACGUGUUCAGAGAACAUGUAGCCGGCAUGGGUUUAAGGGAAAGCCUGUGAUUCCUGGAUAGUAAGGGGCCCAAGGCGAGAAUUCAUCUCUAAAUAGAAAAGUGUUUGUGGCUGUCUAAUCUAGCAGUGAUAACUGUCAAGAUGAAGCAUGCUCAAUACACUGAUUUGUGAUGGGGUGAGUUGACAAAGCGAGAUAGCACAGUUGAGAUCAAGGGGGAGAAUGUUAGGUUGAUCUCAGGCCCAGCCCAACGGCUGGGGCCUCUUACCCCCUGGAUCGCGCCCUGAUCGGGGGCGCCCAACCGAUCCAUGGUUGGUGGGCCCCCGACGCGCUGCGCUAUAUAAACAGGAGUGGGGGCCGCAGGCACGUUUGACGAAGUUCGCCGUGCACACAACCCCACUCGACAAAUCCUAGGCCUUCCGAUCGGCUUGCGCAGUGGCGUCGGGAAGCACCACCGCGCCGCCUCCGUUCUACUACUACCCCGUCGUUGGUCAGUGCCGGUGGAGGCCCGAAGGACGACGUGAUCUACAUCGGCGCAGCACCUACACUCACGCCAUGGACGUCUCCGGAUCUGCUCCUUCCACCAACGACGGUCGAAACCCUAAACUAUUGAUCUAUAUGUUUCUACUAAAUUGUAAUAGAUCUAGUGUAUGCACAUAUAUAUAAAUGUCACUGUAUGCAUUGUUUUAUCCCGAAACCCCGUUCAUCCUAUUGCUAGUAGAUCCUGUAGAUCCAUCAUGAGGCAUCCCUCUCAAGCCUGGACGACUCGCCAGCCUUGGGUCGAGGUCCGACGGCCCCGCGCCCCCGUGGUCAGCGUCGGCGCCGCCGUCGCCGUGCACGCAGGGGGGGGUGCCGCGGGGGUCCCGCACCGCCUACAGCACUCGCCGUCGAGCCCAGCGCCUCGCCUUGCAUCCAUCGUCGUUCACCCAGCGCGCAUGUCGGUUCAGCCUGACGCGGAUGGAUUCCGGGCUGUCCAGAGUCGACGUCGUUGGCGGCGCGCGCCGGCGGCCAGCCGGCCGGUGCCGGCGAUCUUAGUCGGUAAGUGUUUCAACUGUUUAUCCGAGAACCACGUCUGGGCUAACUGUCCAGGUCCGGCGCGCUGCUUCAAUUGUCUCGAAGCCGGUCACCAGUCGCGUGACUGUCCGCUUCCGCCGAGGUCCGGGGUCCGCGGUGGGAAGCGGGGCCGUUCGCCGGGAAGCCUUUACCGCCGUGGAGACCCGCGUAGGCGUCGCUCUUCCACACGGAGGCCUCCCGCGCCACCGGCGACGUCCGACACGGCCUCCGCGCGUUCGGUCUCCACUAGCAGGUCCCCCUCUGUUCCGCCGGGGUGCGGCCCUCCUACCCCGGUCGUCGUUGCGGCGCGGCCGUCGACGCCCGACACAGCCUCCGCGUGUUCGGCCUCCACCGGCAGGUCACCCUCUGUUCCGCCGGGAUGCGGCCCUCCCACCCCGGUUGUCGCUGUGGGGCUGGACGAACCACCGGCCGAUGAGCCGGCCGGCGCCGCUCGGCGCGGCUCGGGUACCCAAGUCGGUGGCCAAGCCGGGGCUUCAACCGGCGGCGGAGCUGGCCGCGCUUCCUGGCCGUGUCCAGGGGCUCUCGCGAGCCCUCCUACGUCGUGCUGCGCAGCAUCCAGCUUCCCCGAGAGCAAGAGCACGAAACCCGCUGCUUGAGAUGGUCGUCAUGCCGCGCACGCCAGCCAUCCAGGCGGCGGAGGACGCCUUGUCACUCGCUCUACUCGCCAUGGUGGUCGGGACGCGACCGCCCGUCACUCCUGCCAUGAUGCUGGAGCACCUGCACGCGUCCUAUGGUCUCAAUGAGGAUGUCAUCUCUGUGCGGAGGACCCAGCCCGACGACUUCAUUGUCCGCUUCUCCAGGCAGGCGGACCUUGACAGGGUGCUCAGUUCACCGGAGCCGCGUGGUACGCCGUUUACCUUGCGCUGGCGCCGGUGGAAUCGUCUCAUUUCAGGUUCUGCUGGGGCCUUCCGCUUCCGGGUGCUUGUCGGAAUGAAAGGUAUCCCGUCGCACGCGCGAUCGGAGGAGGUCGCGCAGGUGCUGCUGGGAUCAUCGGGCGUGAAGGUGGAGAUCGCCAACCCGGACGCCGUCAGUGAUCCGGACGAUGAGAGGAACUCUUCGUUGCUGCCUGGUGCGCCCACCCCGACCUUAUUCCCGACGAGAAGAUUCUUGCCAUCCCGGAGCCGGAGGAGGCGCACGACGGCGGACCUCCACUAUUCCUUCGACCAUGGGAGAUCAUCCAUUCAGAGGUACCUGCCCUAAGGUACUUUGUGCGUCUGCACAUCGUCGAGUUCCAGGACUGGAACACCCCUCCGCCCUCCGACGACGACGACGACGGCGACCUCCAUGGCGGAGGCGGUUGUGACUCCGACGGCGGCGACAGCAACAGCAACGGCUACUGGCCGGGUCUCGCCGGCGCUGGUGGCGGCGGCACGCGGCCGCGCACGACGCGCUUCGGCAGGCCGAGCGAUCCGACGCUCGGCCGCGGAUCGGGUCCCGGAUUCCUGCCACGUCAGCAUGGGAGCGGCAUCUUGGUGGGCCAACUCCUCUGCCCUGUCGCAUCGACGUGUCCCAUCAACAACUGCCCCCCUAGCAGUGGCAGGAAUUCAGGACAGGCGGAGUCACGGAGCUCCCCCAUCGACAGCGUUGACAUCUGCCGCUCACCCUCUCCUGUCAUAUCGACAUCGGCAGACCCGAUGUGGUCAGAGGCGUGUUUGAUCGUGCCUAAAGCUGCACCGCCACCCGUCGCAGUGGCCCAAUCUGUCGACCGCGACCCGCGGCGCUUCUGCUGCUCGGGCACCGCGCCGAGUGGGACCGCUGCUUGGUCCCCGGAGGAAGAUUUCAUGUCUUUGUUGGGCCGAAAGCUCAGCUUCGAAUCUGCACCUGAUGGGCCUGCGUUCUUAUACAAGUCCAGCAUAGUAAAUGUGGCAGCCCAAGAAAACACGAUGUUGUUGACAGAACUCAACAUAGGGGGGCACCUGGAGGCCCCUAGCAAGAGACAAUUGUCGCCAACAAACUCACGGCCCACGUUCAACGUCACUGAAGACAACUCUUCUCGUGCGCCGGAGACCACAUCGUCCUGCCCCCUGUCGACACAUGUGGGGAAUUUCGUCGACUCCUUACGGGUGCCUCUGCAGGCUCCCGUGCUGUCAUCCACUCCGCCACGACGUAUCACCAAAGCGGCGGACAAAGCGGACGACGAUGGCUGGAUACCCAAGCGAAGCGCACGACUGGCGGCCAAAAGCAAGUUCCGUGCCGCCAAGCCGGAAGCUCAAGCUAGGCACGUCAUGAUGAAGAAGCUUGGCCUCGAGGUACAAACCGAGGUCCCAGACGAACCCUCCUUCGAUGAAUUUCAUGCUGCCCUGAAGUUCCCGCUAAACUCAUCGACAAAGGAAGCAAUGCAGGUUCUGUUCCAUGGCAGGAAGCAGCUGGCACUUGGUGCCGUUAGCGCCGCCUAGUGUACUUCUCGGCCUUGCGUCAGUCGCGAUCAUUGUAAUCCAUGUUAAGUUCAAACAUUAUGAUCUGGAACCCGAGGGGUCUCAACAUGCGAGCACGAAGGUCGGUCGUCCGCGAGUUCCUCUUACAGGAACGCGCUACCGUGCUCUACCUGGUUGAGACCAAACUGGAUGUACUCACUGCUUCUAUGGCCUCUGAAUUAAUGGGAUUGGCCUUUGAUUAUGUAUUGUUGCCUUCGAUUGGGGCGUCCGGGGGCAUCAUAGUGGCUUGGGACCGCGCCGAAUGGGUGGUCUCGGCACACGCCUGUCGUUCCUACUCAGUUACGCUGGAGAUCGCCCACAUCUCCUCGCCUGCAAGUUCCUGGACCCUGUCGUGCGUCUAUGGUCCUGUGCUAGAAGACCUCAAGCCGGCCUUCGUGACUGAGUUACGUGAUGUGUGUACUCAGUACACGGGGCCGCUCCUGGUAUGUGGUGACUUCAACCAAAUCUACUGCGCGGAGGACAAGAACAACAGUCGUCUCAACCUGCGCUCCAUGCGUCGGUUUCGUCGGGCGAUAGACGAGUCACACCUACAAGAGCUGUAUCUGAAUGGUCGACUGUACACUUGGUCCAGCCGGAGAAGCACGCCGACGCUUGAGCGUCUUGAUCGAGCUUUCGCCAAUGUCGACUGGCUUGAGGCUUUCCCAUCUCACCACCUACGUUGCCUCUCCUCGGAUUGCUCCGACCAUUCUCCACUAUUGCUGCAGCUGUGCUCCCAGCCUUGGGCCAAGUCGCGCUUUCGCUUCGAGGCAUUCUGGACUCGCCUUGACGGCUUCCAGGAAGUAGUCGCAGACGCCUGGGACGCUGAGCUGCCGGGGGCUGAUCCCUGCAGGUUGCUGGAUUUCAAGCUCAGGAAGACGGCAAAAGCGCUGCAGAGUUGGAGCAUGAAAUGCAUUGGGAGUGUGCGCUCACAACUAUUCAUGGCACGAGAACUCAUCGCCCACUUUGACAAAGAACAGGAGACCAGAGUGCUCACGCAGGACGAGUGCGCCAUACACAGCCAGUUCAAGCUCAUGAGCCUGGGCCUUGCAUCCCUGGCACGCACAAUUGCCAGGCAGCGUGCACGCCUAAGGUUCCUGCGUGAGGGGGAUGCGAACACAAGAUUCUUUCAUCUGCAGGCGUGUCACCGGAGCCGCAAAAACAUCAUACCGGCGAUCCUGCAUGACGGUGCUUAGGUGUCCGCCGAGCAGGCCAAGUCGAAUGUAAUAUUUGACUACUUCAACUCCAUCUUGGGCGCACCGUUCAGCCGCUCACACUCCAUUCGGCUGGAUGAUCUCCUGCCGCAGCUUGAUUUGUCCGGUAUGGACAGCUGCUUCUCCGAACAGGAGAUCUGGGAGACGAUAAACACGAUGCCGAGCGACCGUGCACCGGGGCCAGACGGAUUUACUGGGCUGUUCUACAAAGCUGCUUGGCCCAUCAUUAAGCGGGAUGUCAUGAACGCUAUGAAUGCCCUAUGGUCGCUUGAUGCACGCAGCUUCAAUCUACUCAACGACGCAUUCAUGGUGCUGCUGCGAAAGAACAAUGCCCCUACCAUGCUCAAAGACUUCCGCCCAAUUGCUCUCAUCCACAGUUUUGGCAAGUUGUUCGCCAAAUGCCUUGCUAGGCGCCUUGGGCCAAGAAUGAAUGAGAUGGUUGCGCACAACCAAAGUGCUUUCAUCAUGAAUAGAGCUAUACAUGACAACUUCAGAACAGUUCAGCUUGCGUGUCGAUGGCUUUAUUCCAAGAAAUUUCCGUCACUACUACUCAAGGUCGAUAUUGCCAAAGCAUUUGAUUCAGUAGGCUGGCCUUUCCUCCUAGAAGUACUGCAACACCUUGGCUUCCCCGUCGAUACUUGGACUGGAUCUCCAUCCUCCUGUCUACUGCCAGCACCCGUGUGCUUGUCAAUGGAAGGCCGGGACGUCGGAUCUCCCACGCGCGGGGGCUGCGCCAGGGUGACCCCAUUUCCCCGAUGCUAUUCGUGCUCGUUAUGGAGGUACUGAAUUCGCUCAUCAAGGAGGCUGACCGGCGUGCUGUGCUGUCGCCGCUACCAGGCCAAGUCGUCGUGCACUGAGCCUCACUCUAUGCAGAUGACCUUGUCAUAUUGUUGGCACCACAGGUGGACGACCUCGUUUGCCUGACGCAGAUCCUACAGCUGUUCGCGGGCGCCUCAGGACUUGUCAGCAAUCCCGACAAGUGCAUCGCCACGCCUAUCUGUUGUGAUGAUGAUAUGAUCCAAGCUGUCCAGGCAGCGUUUCCGUGCACGAUCUCUAACUUCCCUUGCAAGUACCUCGGCGUUCCUCUAUCGCUUAGACGUCUGUGCCGUGCUGAUGAGCAACCUUUGAUCGAUGCGGUCGCUGCAAGAAUCCCGACCUGGAAGGCGGGGAUGCUAACAAAUGCAGGGAGGGUCACUCUAACCAGAUCCACCCUGUCAGCCAUCCCCAUUCACCUGAGCAUCGCCUGCUGCCUAUCAGCCUGGGCCAUCUCUCAGAUUGACAAAAGGAGGCGCGCCUUUGUCUGGACUGGCAAUGACUCUUGCAGUGGUGGGAAUUGUCGUUUGGCUUGGCCUGCUGUGUGCCGGCCGACUGACCUUGGUGGCCUUGGGUUAAUUGACCUGCGAGUUGCUGGUUAUGCGUUAAGGCUACGAUGGGAGUGGCUAUCUCGUUCCGAGCCACGACGUUGCUGGACGUCGCUGCCGUCGCGAACAGAGCCGUGCGUCGCCGCGAUGUGCGCGGCCAGCAUCACUGUGGCGGUUGGCGACGGCGCAUCGGUGCGCUUGUGGACCGACUGCUGGGCUUCGGUCGGGCCGCUACACAGGUUUGCGCCAUCCCUUUUCGCGGCGACGUCGCGUACUGGGAGGAAGCGAACGCUAAGGGAAGCUGUCCUCGACAACCAGUGGGCACGCGAUGUCUCUGGUGCCUUGACUGUACAGGUCCUGCGUGAGUACCUGCAGGUCUGGGAAAUCCUGCGCUCUGUUCAGCUCCAGGUUCAUCUGCCAGAUCGCUUCAUCUGGAAGUGGUCCGCGGACGGCACGUACUCAGCUUCCUCGGCAUAUCGUGCAUUCUUUGCCGGCUCCACCAGGUUGCUCGGCGCCAAAGAGCUCUGGCAGACCAAGGCGCCACCAAAGAUUAAGAUGUUCUUCUGGCUUGCCCUACACCGGAGGCUCUGGACCGCGGAGCGACGCAAGCGCCAUGGCCUGCAAAUCAAUGACGAUUGUGCGCUCUGUGAUCAGCACGCCGAGACAGUGAGCCAUCUGUUUUUGGCUUGUAUUUUCGCUCGCCAGGUUUGGUUCGGCGUCCUUGACCGUCUUCAAAUGGUCAACUUGAUGCCAUCCGGUGAUCACGAGCUAGGUGAUUGGUGGAUCGAUCUGCGAAAGCGGCUUGACGUGGACUCACGAGGGCUGUUCGACAGCCUGCUACUUCUAAUUUCUUGGAGGUUAUGGAAGGAACGCAACGCGAGGGUAUUUGGGCGCGCACCGUCUUCUGUGCAUGAGGUAGUCGCCGCGAUCGCCGCCGAGGGUGAGGAGUGGGCGUCCGCAGGCUAUGCGCCGCUGCUGGCCCUACAAGUUCUCUGGUCGCAAAAUCAGGGCCAUAUGUAAUUAGUUUUUUUCCGCGUUCCAGUAGAAGUAGGUCUUCCUGGUGGGUGUUAGGCUGCUCGCCUGCGCCUUGCUCGUGUAAGGCUUGUGUACCUUGUUGCUCUUCCUCUUAAUGAAAAACGGGCACAAACCCGAUCGCGAAAAAAAAAAAACCAUUCAAUACUACUGUCUACUGUAGCUAGGUGACUAGAUUCGUGCCUUUUGGUGUGGUCCUGUACAAACUAAUACUUUUGCAAAAGGAUUGUGGUCCUAUUCAAACAAACUCUUUUGCAAAAGUAUAGUUCAACGGAAAAGCCCCAAACUUGGUAUAUUGUUCAUCACAGUGGAGUCGUACGUGGAAAACUCUUUGUGCCCGUUGACAAAUGGAUAUAGAGUACGUACGGUAAAGUUCAUGCACAUAUGCAGGUCGCAACAAGGAGCACAAUCCGGCUCAAGAUUACGGCGCCGAUUAAUUCGUGCGAAGUGAUCUGGCUCGAUCGAGAAAGCCAGUAAACUGAUUGCUCGUGUGACGUCAGCAUCGAUUGCCCAAUGAAAUCUGGCAAUCAGUAACGGCCUUGUUUGGAAAUAUUAGUGAUAAAUAUUACUAGCGGAAGCAAGCAAUCAGCUAAUACUCCAUUCGCUCUAAAUUAUAAGACAUUUUGACAUUUCUAGAUGUAUAGCUUUUGCUAUGCACUUAGAUACACACUAUAUCCAUAAAAACGCCAGCAUCUGCAUGAAGUUGAGGAUUUGAACUUGGAUGGACAGACUUUACCAUAAGAAACCUAACUAACUGAUUUAUUAGUGGACUAUAUUAGGUAACUUAUUUGAGUCAUGUUUGUAUCACUCUAUCAAUACUAGUACUUAAUUUGGGGAAGGCAGUUAAUAAUUUUAUUAGAAAGAUAGUUCAUGUUUAUAUCUAUCGGUGCUAAUUUUAGCUCCUACUCAGUUAACACUAAUAGUAUAUCUAAAUAGGUCCUUAGAAUACUAAUGGUUAACUAAACUGACCUAUACCGGCAGGUGGACGAGCCAGCAGUCAUCAUCCACUGACCACCAUAUACAACAUACCAGGAGUAUAUAUCUGUAAAACUAAGUUUUCAUGUACCAAUUAAGGGUAUGUUUGGAUGAGUUAAAGCUAGUUAUUAGUUGGCUAAAAGUUAGCUUAAAUUAGUUAAGGUUAUCUAGCUAAUAGUUAACAACUAGAUGAAGAUUUAGUUAAAAAAUAAACUUAGCUCACCUUCCCAUUUGAACGCACUAGUGUCAAUUAGCUCUCGUAUCAAACAGAUACGAGAAUUGAUAAAAAAGACUAAGGCCCUGUUUAGAUUGGAGAUAAAAAAAAUUUGGGUGUCACAUCGGAUGUGUCAGAAGAAUAUUGGGAGAGGUUUUAACAAACUAAUAAAAAAAUAAAUUACAUAGCUCGUCUAGAAACUGCAAGACAAAUCUAUUAAGUAUAAUUAAUCUGUCAUUAACAAAUGUGGGUUAUUGUAGCACUUAAGGCUAAUCAUGGACUAACUAGGCUUAAAAGAUUCGUCUCGCGAUUUUCAACCAAACUGUGUAAUUAGUUUAUUUUUUAUCUACAUUUAAUGUUUCAUGCAUGUGUCCAAAGAUUCGAUGGGAUGGAUGAAAAUUUUCUGGGUGGAGAACUAAACCGGGCCUAACCAAUCUGGUGUGCAAGAGAAAAUGUAGAAGACCGAUCGAUGUGCAGCAUGGUUUAAAGUUUAAACUGGUUCGUUAGAUGCGCAAAGUGUCGAGACCUUUUUUGCAAGAUCGUCAUCAUCGCAGUGCGGUGUACAGGCGGACUCCACCGUACCGCUGCAGACCACAAACCACUAGCUAGCACAACGCAACGACAAAACUGCUCCAUCACUCGGGCCGCCUACAUAUAAAUUUCUCGACCUGUGCCGUGCAUGUAAUCCAAGCAACAAUCGAAGCUGCCACAGCACAAAGAAUUCCACGACGUACGACGACACCAAGCCGGCCGGCCGACGAUUGAGACGAGAAGUGGCCGGACGGCAGCUGCACGAACGAACAGCCGAACAGCAGAUGCAAACGUGCACUCCCAUGGCGUCCAGCUCGAACACGCUGCUGAAGGUGGUGCUCUGCGCCGUGCUCCUCCUGUCGUCCACCACGACCGCCGUCUCGCGCGGCCACUGCGAGCCUGCUGACGACGACGACGACCAUCGCGGCGGAGUGGUGGUGGUGGCGACGAUCACCGGGCGGAGAAUGCUCGUGGCGGAGAGCGGCGCCGCGAGCUCGCUGGCGGCCACGACAACAACGACUGCCGUGAGCGUGCCGCGGCUCACUCGCAAAGAAGCGGCGGCGGCGUCGUACUCCGGAUCGAAGAGGCAGAGCCCCGGCGGGCCCGAUCCUCAGCACCAUUAAACCCCUCCCCUCGCGCUGUUGACUGCUUUGGCAUGGUAACUCCGUGAGUUACGUUUUUGUACUUCGUACGUGAUGAUGUACGCGCGUAAAUAAAUCGCAGCAUUCACCGCUGAUGAUGCAAGGGUCGCAUCUCGCAUAGAAAAAUUUGUACUACUACUUACUACUCCUUCCAUUUCAAAUAUAAGUUGUUUUUACUUUUGUCUAGAUAUAUAGCAAUUUUGAUGUAUUGAAAAAGCCAAAUGACUUAUAAUUUGGAACUGUGAGGGUACUUUAUUACCAGUCCGAAAAAUUGUACACUACUUACUUUUUUUAGGGGAAUUUGUACUGCUUACUAUUACUACUUGAUGGGAUGGGCCUGCUGGCUCAGAGGCCCAGGAAGUAAGCCCACCAGACGGUUUUUCAAAAAAAAAAAAACAUGUAUAAUUUCAUUUCUCACCAAGAGGCCGAAGAAAAUGAGUUUGACGCAUACUGACAAAGUUCAUCCAAUAUAAUUACCAGGCACACGAGACAACGAAACAAAUCAUUACAUUACAACAUACUAGUGAUAAAGGCAAACAAACCCGCUUGUAUUAUUGAUUUUUUUUGAAUUAAAUUAUUGAAAUUUUUGGGUAAAAGAAUGGAGCUGAAACAAAUACAACAGACUAAACACUACUGCAUGAAUUAUGCUCCCAUAAACAAAAGACACAUCCAGAACAUUCCAUGGACAGAAGAACGCAGACGCAGAGUUCCCAAUUUUUUUUUAAUUAAAACAAACAUUAGAAAGUUCCCAGACUUGAAGCCGUCGUCGUAGUCGUCGUCUUGCCAUGAUGCAUGAGCCUUCACUCGUGGUCCUCGAACGACUUGGCCGGGUUGUCGGGGUCCAUGUCGCCGAAGAGCGGCAGGUCGGCCGGCAGCGCCUCCAGGCUGAGGUUGGCGUCCUUGAGCGCGAACACCACCUCCUCGAACAGCACCCGGUUGCCGCGCGGCGUCAGGUGCAGCCCGUCCCUUCACAAUUUACCACGCAAGAAAUGGCCAAGUUUGAUUUGAGUUCAGUUGUCUCUGGAGUCUGGAGCGCGAUCGAGCACUGAGGAGGAGGCAUGACAUGACUGUGAGUGCGUGCGGCGUACGGUACCUGAGGAACGACUUCUCCCAGCCAUGGAACCUCUGCAUCCUGGACCAGACGUCGAUGGCCCUGAGCCCACACUGCCGCGCCACCUCCAGGCACGCCUUCGCGUACAACCCCGCCGCCGCGUUGGUGCGCUCCGGCAGGCCGGAGAAGUCGUGCGCGUACGGGUACCUGCAUUCGCCGUGUUCCGUGCUAUCAGAAUGAUUGCUGCCGUCGGCGGCGGUCACCUAUGCCGAUCGACGGUGCCCAAGCGCAUGCAGGCGUGGUACGAAAGAAGCUAAGAACAUCGAGAUCGAUCACUCACCGGAGACGCCCGUCCUCGUCCACCGGCGGCGGCGUGAUGAGGAUGACGACCACCGACGGCCACCGCUUCUGGGGGAAAAAAAAAACAGAGCAAGAGGAUGAACGACGCAGAGUUAGUGUCAGUGCCGUGCCGUGCCGUCGUUUCGGAAUGCAGGUUGAGCUCAUGAUCGAACUGGUGGUUUCACACCUUGAGGAGCGCGCAGAUGGCGCGGAGGUUGUCCUUGUACUCGGCGAGGGGCACGUGCUGGAGCGCGCAGGCGCGGUCGGGCAGCGCGGCGUCGUUGGCGCCGAAGAAGACGGUGACUGCCGAGACGGGGCCGGCGAUGCUGGCGACGGCGCGGCCCGCCACACGCGCCGCCCAGCGCGUGUUGUAGCCGCUGUAGCCGCGCAGCACGACGUCGGCGGAGCGGGAGUAGUGGUUCGCAAGCGACGCGCCCCAGCCGCCCUCCCCGAACGCCUCCUCCGUGAUGGAGUCGCCGAACAGCACGAUCGACGGCCUCAUUUUUUAUUUAUUUUUUUUAUUCCCCCCGGCUGCUCGUGUGUUCGUGCCGAUGGACAGGGGCAGGAUAGACCAGCAGAUCGACGCCGCACUGGUGGUUGCUUAACGCUUGCUCUGGAGUGUGGCCCGUCAUGGUAUGUGUGGGUUUAUAUAGAAGGACACGCAUGCAGGCGACGGCGAGAGUCGGCGACGCAACGUCUGAGAACGUCGUCGUUUCCCGGGCAGCGAUGUCGGUUCGGGUAGAGACGGCAGCGCGGUGGACGUUCAGGCGGGAGGUGCUGGCGUCAUCUGGUGCGUGCCGGCCCGGGUGGCGCCAAGCCGGCCGCCAAGCCAUGCAUGCAGCAGCGCCGCGCGCGUCGAUGUCGGCGGCAUGGCAUGGCAUGGGAUGGCAUGGCUCCCGAGGCCCGAGUGGGGUGGGGAGUCACGCGGGGUUGGACGCUUCGGCGAGUGGGCCCAGCUUUGUCGUCUGGGCUUGAACAGGGGGGGCGCAGGGAUUCCGGGGAGGUGCAUGCACCGGGGUCCGGGGGGGAGACGGUGGGCCGGCCCGGCCGAAGGCGGUUGAGCCCGUUCACAGCGGUCAAAGUCCGGAGGCACUGGCUGCGCAUGGCUGGAUGCCUGGAUCGUCGUCGUGACCACGCGCCACGACAAAGUGACGGCAGGCCUCGGCUGCGAGCGCGCUACGUGCCAGCCCGGCUCCGCCAAGCCGUUGCCAGUGGACGUACCAGGCCGGAGAAGGGCAUGUUUGCAGCUUGCACCCAGGCCCAAUAAACGGAUCGGCCUUCCGUUGGGAGAUAAUCUGUAGGAAAAAAUCUACAUUUUCUCUUAACUUUUUGCGAAGUAUAUUUUUAUAAACUCUAAAACCAGAUAAAAACAUCUCUUUUAACUUUUAAAAACCAUUCAUAUUAACUUUCUAAUCCUGUUAUAAGCAGUUUUAUCUUUUUCUUUUUAUUUAUUUUAACUGGAUAUUUGAAAAAUCAUAGUAAAUAAAAAAAAUCAUAAAAUAAGAAAUCCAAUUUUGUUAGAUUCCACAAGAGAGUAGAUCAUGGACAACGAACAUGGACAGGCUUCGACAAUGCCACCUUUUCUUUACUAGGUAGCGACGAGGCGAGGAGCCACACCGCAUACUCUGAUCAUGAAUCUUGAGUUCAGGACACGCCAAGGCACACAAAGCCGGUGAGCCGCGUCGCAGCGCAUAGACUCACCGCGCAUAGACACGGGACACGAUGGUGGAAACCAGACAGGGCUCCACAACGACGACAUCUUGGUUCUUGCCUUCUUGAAAUUGUGAUCAUUGAUCAGUUGUUUCAGUUCAUGUCUAGGCCUUAGGUAAAUUUUCUUCUUGUUUAUUUUUGAAUUUGAAUUAAUUAUUUGUAUGAUAUUCUAGACUUCUAGUAUUUUGUACUCAUAGUCAUUGUUUUUCUUCUAAUUUAAGUGUUAGAUUUAAAAUAUAUUAUUGGAUUUUUUUGUUUUGCAAGUAAAAUUAGUAUCUAUACAUUUUUAGAUUUUAUACAUGGUCUAGUGGGAUUGUCGCGACAAGUUCACCAGAGGCCCUUAGUGACUAAUCGUCUCCAACCAAUACACCAAGUGACCAAGCUGGUUACUCCCUCCAUCCUAAAAUAUAAAGUAUUUAGAAAGUUUAGAACAAAUUAUGAGAUAACAUAAAUGAUGUAGGUAUCUCUCCCUUAACUAGAAAUUUUUUUUGUGCUAUUAUAUUUUAAGUCUGAUAGUAAACACUAAUAGCAAGUAUGCAUGUAAUUAUACCUUUUAAGAAGUUUAUUCGCCUAGAAUGUUUUAUAUUUUAAGAACAAUUUUUAAAUGCAUCAGUACCAUAUAUUUCAAGAUGGAUGAAGUACAACUAGCAGGGUUUAGCAGCGACAACCGUCACACACUCUGAGUCUAGAGACCCAGAACACUGAGGACAGUACAUCAUGUACAUGCACCGUUUAAGAACGUGUCAUGCUCGUAAAGCCAUGUCCCGCAGGGAAGGCAAACAAACAAAUUAACGAACGGAAAAGGCCAUGUGUGUGUACGUGCACGGGAAUAAAAAGUAGCAUGGACCAGCGAGAGAGACGGCAACCCACCGGUACGGUGGCGCAGCGCGCCCGGCAGGGCUAACCACCCGGAAAACUCCAACUCACCAACGCACUAACAUGCUCACAGGUCACAGCAGGUUUAGAUUCUAAAAUAUUUUAUAAAAGUUUCAAGAUUUUUUGUCACAUCAAAUCUUACAACACAUAUAUAGAACAUUAACUAUAGAUAAAAAAUAACUAAUUAUAUAGUUUAUUUGUAAUUUGCAAGACGAAUCUUUUAAAUUUAGUUAGUUCAUAAUUAAACAAUAAUUAUUAAAUACAAAUUUUUUACUAAUAAACAGCUCCUCGCUCCCACAACACUUAUGAAAUAUACAUAGAGCCGUAGCAGCCGCGGCAGCCCCAGCCCCAUGCCGAAAGCAAGGGAGCGAGGGGUGCUUGCUCCCUCAUUAUUUGGCCGGAACAGCACGUCGAAGAGGACGAGUCAGCACCAGGUCAACUUCAUCAUCAUAUCUCAGUUAUGAUAGCAAGGAUUAAGGAAACUUGAGAAGCUAUCCAUCCUUCAGAGAAAUUAAAGGACGACGGCAGCUGAUUAGGCAACGGUGCCCCGGCAGUUUGCGUUGCUGGCUUUUGUCAGGGACUUGAUUCCAAUCGCGCGGUCAGAUACGUGCCAGCCGGCUUCUGUUCUCUGCCAGCAUCGCCAUCCUUUUGUCGGUGUGGCCUAGGCUGCAGGUAACCGCUACCGUCGUACAACAAUUGUUUUUUUUUUGAAGAAAGUCGUACAACAAUUGUUGUAUCACCAUUAAGCUCUGUCUCAAGCUUGAGCGUGUUAAGAGGGUUGAGUUGAGCCUUGGAACCAAUCGAACCUAAAGUUAGGCUCAAAUUUGACUCAUUUAUAAUCCGUGUCAAUCUCAAGUUCAGUGUAAGACAAACCAAACACAAGAAAUUCAAUAUUGGCAUAGAUUAUAAACUAGAAUCAGAAAUCAUUUCUCACCUGCUUUUUAUCACAAUCAGAAGGUAAAAGCUCUGCUUAAUAGGUCAUAAACAGUCAAAUAUUGACAUUUGGAACACUAACACCUUUUCAGUUAAGAGAGUAGUUGAAGGGACAUUUGGACUACACCUCGCACACAGAUGGUUAUGGAAAUCCUCUUGUCAGAACAAACAUAACGUGUUUUUCUAGCUGCUGAUCAAAGACAGACUAAGCAUAAGAGAGUUUUUAAGAAGAAAGCGUAUGGAACUUGAGGACUACAUGUCUACAUGUGCAUCUUAAGUAGAGAUUCAUAAGAAGAAUCAUCAUUGCAACUUUUUUUUUCUGGAGUGCCCCUUUGCCACCCAAUGUUGGAGCUGGCUCAGCCUUCAGAUUGACCAUGAGUUAGAUCCUUUACAAAUCAUACAGUCCCUUAGAUCUCAACUGUAAUUGCCUUUCUCCAUAGAGAUCAUCAUUCUGAUGUGUUAGACGAUAUGGAAGGCUAAAAAUGAUUGGAUCUUCCGUUAGAUACCUCCAAGCAUGCAGCCAUCAAACGAUAGUUUCAGGGAUGAAAUGAUUUAUCUUUCCCUGAGAGUUAAGAGAAGGUUUCAAGCUAUUUUAGAACAAUGGAUAAACAGUCUCUCUUAGCUUGGUUCAACUCAGUGUUGAGCUACAUUUUCUUUCUUAACUUCUUUGUUUUCUAGAAGCCUUCUUUAACUCUUUCUAUUUUCUUUUUUUUCUUGCUUUCACGUGUAAACCUCCUUUUCGUUUAAUAAAAUUUUCCUGUAGGGGUGCAAACCUCCUCCAAUUUCCUAAAAAAAAGACGAAAACGAGCCUAACACGACACAGAGUGCACUUACGAACCAAACACGGAUAGCUCAUCACAAAUCCACCCUCCUCUUUCACUCGACAACACCAAUCUCCCUCCCCCCAACCCAUGGGCGGAUCUAUAUAGAGGGUUGUGGGUGCGGGUGCACCCACAAAAAUAUCAAAAAAUAGUGAUUAUGAUCAAAUUUUCACCAUAUUUGCACCCACAUAGAAAAAUCCUACGCACCCACAAGGCAAGCGCACCCCUCUCAUAUUUGCUCUAGCUCCGCCACUGCCCCAACCUCAGUCUCCUCGUCCAAUUCGUCUUACUUUACUGUACACACCUUCACCUUGUGGAGUCAAAAGUGGACGUGACGAGCUCGGCCUAUCUUGUUCGUUGAUUUCACGGCAUCUUCUGGAAGGCCGUCAUCCGUGCUAGCACGCCCAAAGUGCGUUGUGGAUGGGCAACUCAUCCACGGCGGAGAUACAUGACGAUUCGGUGAAACACAGCAUCGUACACCCUCAUCAGUUUGCCUCAUCGUACCCUGCACGGCUGCACGCAACACAAAAAAGCGGAGAGUUGCACCAAAAAAUCAAAAAAAAAAUCAAGAUUUCUUGUACAUCGAAUCUUACAAUAUAUGUAUAAAACAUUAAAUAUAGAUAAAAAAUAAUUAACUGCAUAAUUUAAUUAUAAUUUGCGAGAUGGAUCUUUUAAGCCUAGUUAUUCUAUAAUUAAACAACAAUUAUCAAAUACAAACAAAAAUGCUACAAUGUCUAAAUUCAAAAAGAUUUAGGAAGGCCUUAUUGGCGCUCGGGCGGAGGACAGGGAAGAAUUAAGGUAGGCCUUAUUAGUAGUUUAUAACAUCUUUAGCAAAUGAAAAAACAUGUUACAGUAGGUAUCAGAUAAGCUCAAGAUAUGGCAGUGGCCCCACUUUGCCAUACCGACAGCUCCGCCACUCCGCUCGCGCUAGCCAAUCGUCUCUGAACCUGCUGUUAUUAGUCCAAUCACACACGGAAGACCUCGUGUGAGAAACUGUGAUGGUGCAGUGGUGGACUGGUGGCUGGCUGCAUGGGCUGGGCGGCUCUCUGUGUAUCACCGGGUUGGCUGCCGAGAUCGCGUGUUCGCUGGUCGAGCAAUGGGAGUCCGGACUCCGGGCUUUCGAUCGAGGGAAACAUGCAGAAGUGAAACGCUCAGCAGCAGAGACCAGAGAGCCCGGCCUAGCGUGGCGUGCGCCCCCGUCUCUCGGCUUCGCUGGCGCAACAGCGACGGAGAGCUGCUUCUGAGGUGUUGAUGGAGGACGGCGCCUUUAUGAUUCGGCGAUCAGAUCCGGUACCGUCGGAUCCAACAUACGCCGGCGUCUUUUUAGUUAAGAGUAUUAGUCGAGUUCGGAGUCCUAUCUGAUUUCUUAUAAGACUUUCCUGUUGGUGUUACAGUGUUUAGUCAGUCAGAACCAGGCCGUGUGCCGUGAGUUCGUUGCUCGUGCUGACACGCUUGGGCCUUAUUUAGUUGUAAAAAGAUUUUAGAUUUUGAUACUGUAGCACUUUCGUUUAUAUUUAAUAUUAAUUGUCAAAUUAUAGACUAACUAGGCUCAAAAGAUUCGUCUCGUAAAUUACAGAUAAACUGUGUAAUUAGUUAUUGUUUUCGUCUCUAUUUAGUGUUUCAUGCAUGUACCACAAAAUUCGAUGUGAUGGGAAAUCUCUAAAAGUUUUUGAAUUUCAGGUGAACUUGUUUUGUUUAGCGACGGCCGCGACGAUGCAUGAGCCUUUUUGUUCGAUUCGUUGUGGAUGAGGCUGUCUAUCAUACUCAAAUCAAGAAAGGGAGAAGAUUCCGGUAGCGCGCCAUGAACUCAUGAUGUUAAACGUGACUGACGACUGGUCAUCAUGACGCUGAUGCCGGGCGUUGACGUGCUGCUGACUGCUGACACGCCUCCUCUGCUUGCCCGUCGUCCAUAUCUUGGCCGGUAAUUUUUGUUCCAAAAUAAUAAUAGUAUGGCCUUGUUUAGUUCUAAAAUUUUUGACAAAAUAUGAAUAGUAUCAAUUUUAUUUAUAUUUGACAAAUAUUGUCUAAUUAUAGACUAACUAUGCUCAAAAGAUUUGUCUCGUCAAUUUCGACCAAACUAUGUAAUUAGUUUUUAUUUUCGUCUAUAUUUAAUACUUCAUGCAUACAUCUAAAGAUUCGAUUAGAUGGAGAAUCUAAAAAAUUUUAUAAAAUUUUUUGGUAUCUCGUUAGGCCAACGGAAUAAACUAAGUUCAGUACGACGUCGUGGCAUAAGCAGCCGGUGCGUUCGUGCGGGGGCAGUCUCGGUCUCGCGGAUAAGAACAACCUUGAGGUCUUGUUUAGUUUCGAAAAAUUUUGGAAAAUAGACACUAUAGUACUUUUGUUUGUAUUUGACAAAUAUUGUCCAAACAUAGACUAACUAGGCUCAAAAAAUUCAUCUCGUCAAUUCCGACUAAACUGUGCAAUUAGUUUUUAUUUUCGUCUAUAUUUAAUACUCUAUGCAUGCGUCUAAAGAUUUGAUGUGACGAGGAAUGUGAAUAAUUUUGCAAAAUUUUAUGGGAACUGAACAAGGCCUGAAAUCUACUCUCUGUCUUUCGCAGGAUCGUAGGCGAAACAGAGAGCUUUCCAUGACAACAAAAUGCAAAUCUAAACACUGACGAAUUCGCCACUUGGUCGUAUAAAAACCUCGAUUACUAGUUAACUCUCACUUAUUAGUCAGCACAUAAAGCGUACGUCUAAGUCUAAUCGAAUGCACUCGACGUCAGUCCUGUACGGCCGGGUUGGAUGAGGCUUAAAGCGACUCAAAUCAGCGGACGUCACCAUGCAUCUUAUGGUUAGGUAACAUGUUACUGCCAGUCAUUCUCAUUCACGGCUCUGAACUGACGUGCAAACUGUCCGGCUUUUCAGCCUUCAGCCCCCUGUCUGCGUGGUGGCACUAAGGGUCUAUUCGGUAGAGAUGUGAGCGGUAAAAAAAAAACUAUUUAUGAGCUAUCUGUUGUGAAAAAACUGAGUUGUAUCGUUGAAAUAAGUGAACCUACUCCUCUCUCUAUGUCUCUCUAUUUUUAUCCAUUUCAAAAAGCUGAAAGCCAAAACACAAAAGCUGGAGUCCAAUACUCCAAUGUGCUACCGAAAUUAUACUCCACGAAAGCAGCUGCUUUUGUGUAAAAGCAUAUUCAUGCUUCGCCUGUUUGAUUGGCUUUCUAUUUAAGCAGCAGAAGCACGUUUAGAAAAUUCAACCAAACAUGGCUUGAGAUAUAUAAUGCUCCUUUUAACUGGUUCGUUUUUUAUCGCAUAUUCAGUAGUUUCCCCCACUUCUGUCAGUUUGCAUGCAAUCAGUUGCCCAUGUUCCUGACGCCAAUAGGCCAACGACUGGAUUACCCAAUUGCAUAUGCAAGUACAAAUAAACUGAACAAAUUAAAAUAGACGACGCCUCAUGUUCAUGCAUAUGUUUGGUGGGAAAAAUGGGCUGGCACAUCUGAAUGAUGUGUCUCCCUCCUAGAAAAAAGAAAUUAAUGAAAUACAUUUCAUAUUUUGAUGCAUGAUGCUGCCUGCUCCAUAUAUAAACUUUCAGUAGUACUUACAAUUUAUUUCUGAACAAAGUUUUUCAGUAUACUUUUACCUAAUAUGAAACAAUACAAAGCAUGUACUGCAUAACUAUAUAGAGGCCCAACCAACAUCCUAACUGAACUUCAUCCCGUACAUUGGAACCGAAUUAUUGCUGCAAGCAUAACAUUCAUAUUAGGUACUCUGCAAAACAAUCCAAACUCCAUUUUCAUCACACGAACCAGAAAAAUUCAGGCGACACAGUUCAGUACGCACCAAACCAAAAACACAAGAGUGGUUGCUUCCGGCACACUCCGCUCCAACUCCAGCCUCCACCCCAAAUCCGGGCGUUAGAAAAAAGCGAAACGAAUCAAAUCAGGGGCGUUAGCUCCCUCUCGCGCCGGAGGUUAUGUUGGAAGGUUCGGGCGUUCGCUUGCAAGACACAGCACCACCACGCACGUCGCCGGCCGGUCGACAACGACGGCUCGCGCUCUUUGGCAUCUCGAUCGUCGCAUUAGUCCACGGCGGAAUUGAUCGACCGGUGGUCGUGCUGGAGCACCCUGUCGGCUUGUUUGCAGAUGAUGAAGGCCUCCUCCGCGUACGUACCUGCUCCGUGUCCUAAUUCCUAAAGCUAGCGGCGGCUCGAGUUGUUGGGGUUCCUUCCUCAUCUCAUCGUUUGGUGGCUUAAUUGGCAGUGCGCGUAUAUGCAUGCAUGUACACUUGUACAGGCCCCAAUUAUCGAUUCCGGAGGAUGUAACCGAUUAAACAAGUACAGUAGUGCAAUUGUUUAAGGAGUAGAUGUCGAUCCUGUGAUGAUGUGUAUGAAAUGCUUUCUUGGAAUGUGGGACAGAUGAUGAAGCAACACGGAACCAGGGUCGUCAAAAGAUGAGCUAGCUUUGUUUGACGUCGGUCUCAGAUAUACUAUAUACUUCCUCAUGGUCAAUUGGUCAUGGAUGAGCUGGCCAUGCGGAUAAUCUUGUUAAAAUACUACGUUCUUCCCAAGUUGCUGAUUUUUUUGCUAGAAAUAUCUAAUCUAGCUGCUGAAAAAUCUGAGUACUGAUGCUCUUCAUUCAGUUGCCUACCUAUUCUUGAGGUUGACAGAGAAGUCACAACACUGUGACUGACAGCAGCCGAUGCUUGAUCCAAAGUCCUGAAUCCAACAGUCUGACGAUAUGCAUGAUAUGAUAAUCCGUUAAUUUGGUUACAGUUAAACACAAUUCUCUCUCUGUGUGUGGAUAAUAACGGACUGCAACUGCAUCGCCGGCAUUGGCAUGGCCUACACGGUGCCAAGUUCGCUGAGGAAUUGACAUGGCGCCCGCCCGCCUCUGCCUGCUCGCCUGCUGCUAAUAGUAGCUGUAGUGCGUGUCCCUUCCUUGCACCAUGUUAUGGGAGUUGUUGAGCCCUAGCUUUUCUUUUGACGUUCAGGUGUAGGUGUCAUGGGAGAUUGAUCGAGCACUACAACUACAAAUGUAACGACGAACCACCAUUGUUUUUUUUUCUUAACUGUAAAGUCAUAUCAAAUGCUACAUAUAUAGCUAGUUUAUAUCGUGGCAUUUGAUAGAGUGUUGGCCAUCCUGUUGUGACAAGGCUGUUUGACCUGCUACUUGUUGCCUGAACCGGGAAAGCAGGAUAAGAAAGCAAACAAGGUAACGUCUAAUUGACACAACACAAGCACAACCAGUGCUGUUCAGCUGGCUGAUGCAUCCAGUUAUAGGAGUCUAGGAGCAGUCUUCAGGCAGCUUUUCCGUUUCAAAACUAGCACAGCUUUUUGGGCCAUAAAUCCAAACAACUACUACUUGCGAAAUAAUGUGAAACCAUGUAAUAUAUAUGAACUCGAUGAUGCUAUCUCCAUGACAGACUCUGGCUACCUAAUCAAGCUCUCAAAAAAUCUGUUUGGUAGUUAAACUAAGUCAAACUCAACUGAAAGCGCUGCAACAUUUAUGAGUGGCAACUGAUUUUCGCAGUUUAAGACUAUCUCCAACAAUUGUUACCCAAAAUACAAUAUCCAUUUGUCCUUUGGGUAGCGCUACAGGUAAAAGGUUCCAUACCUAUUUUUAGUCUUCUCCAACAACAAGACCUAAAAGACAACACUCUCUGCAAAUAGGUCUCAAGGAGAGAGGAUACCCAAAUUUGGGUUAUGCCUCUCUUGAUACCCAAAAUGGGUCUUCUGUAUGGGUACUCUGUUGGAGUCUAUAGGUAUUGUGUGUUGGAGACCCAUUUUGGGUUUGGGUUCCCAAAUGGGUCUCCCAUUGGAGACAGCCUAAGAAAAAUGUAUGCUAAUGAAGAACAAGGUGGGAGCAGACAGUUUCAUCUCAGAGUUUCUAAGCUUUAGUAUUUGCAAAAAGAACUCAGAAAUCCAGAGCAUCAAAGCUACCCAAAAGGGUAUUUCUACUUGUAUGAGGUGUCAGCUACAUAGAUUAUACAAGUUAGUGGAAAAUGAUUAGGGUAAAGCCAAAGGUGUUAGUUUUCAGUAAUGAAAUGGCUCCUACUAGACAAGCAUCAAACAUAGCUGGUCCAACACUCCAACUUGUACAGUAUACUAUACACGCUCCCAUGCUUCAUACUCAUACUACCUUCAAUCAUCUUGCUUUUAUUGGACACUGAUUAGGAACAGGAGGAAAUGUCUAACCCACAUUUUCAUGCCCCCAUUUAACUACCCUUUCUUGUAAGCAGCAGCAUCUAUUACCAAAAUGAUCACGACAAAUAACACCACUCCUUUUUUAGCUUUUUUGAAACAGAUACAAUAUUCAGAAAAGAUCUAUAUAUGUUCUCAUCAUUAAGUAAAAGGGCACAAACUAGAGUCGAAAAUGACUCGGACCGCGAUGAUGUUACACUUGAGCCAUCUCAUACCUGAAAUAUACAAACUUCUUCUCUAAACAAAAGAUACAUCUUAAAAACUGGACAGGGGUUACCAAAAGCAGAGCAAGAUUUGAUACUGAUAUUAUGAUAAAACACGAGGAAAAAAAACACUCUACAACUGGUAGAAUACAAAGGAAAAGACGGAAGAAAAGCAGAAGUUUCCUCCAAUGAGGAAGAAAAACACGAACAGAAACAAAAAAUAAAUAAAAAGCAGCCCAUGCAUGCACAACAACCGAAGUAGACUGACACGAGGUGGGCUAAUGGCGCAACAGCUACGUCCCAACCCACGCCAUUGACGCCCUCUAUAUAAGCCGGGAGCCCCCUGCAAACAUGAUCAUCAGCCACAGCCAAUAAGUAUAAGCGCGGAUCGAGCUAGCUAGCUAGCCAGCUCGGAGUCGGAGCACGCCUAGACACCACCAGGCUAGCAGCAAUGGCGGCUCGGCUCGCCGUCGCGUUCCUCGCCGUGUCCUCUGCCUUCUUGGCCGUCUCUGGCCAGAAGUUCAACGCCAUCUUCAGCUUCGGCGACUCCAUGUCCGACACCGGCAACCUGUGCGUGAACGGUCCCCCCGCCGGCCUCACUCUCACCCAGCCCCCCUACGGCGAGACCUUCUUCGGCCGCGCCACCUGCCGCUGCUCCGACGGCCGCCUCGUCGUCGACUUCCUGGGUGCGCAGAUACUCUUUCUUUUGCACGAACGUUCCCCAUUUCAAACGCGCCGCUUCCCUCCAAAAAAUGAAAAAACAGAGCACCUUACUCUGCUCGCCACUCACGUGACAUGCUGAAAUUUCUGUUUUGCUUGUUGUUGCGCAUGUAGCCGAGAAAUUCGGUCUGCCGCUGCUGAAGCCGUCGAAGCAGGGCGGCUCCGACUUCAAGCAGGGCGCCAACAUGGCCAUCAUCGGCGCCACCACCAUGGACUCUGGCUUCUUCCAGUCUCUGGGCAUCGGCGACAAGAUCUGGAACAACGGGCCCCUCAACACCCAGAUCCAGUGGUUCCAGCAGCUGAUGCCGUCCAUCUGCGGCUCCACGCAGGGUACGUACGUCGUACGUGGUGCACGACACGAUUGGCAUUCAUCAAUGUCUGCCGGCCCGCCGCCGCUCGCCAUUAAAUCCCAUGCAAGCACAGCACACAUGGUCCAUGGACCAUGGAGGAAGACGAUGAGCGAUGUGGUGGUCGCUUGCUAGCUCACUCACUCACUCACUGACGCCAUUAACUCGAUUCUCUUGGCAGCCUGCAAGUCGUACCUGUCCAAGUCGCUGUUCGUUCUCGGCGAGUUCGGCGGCAACGACUACAACGCGCAGAUCUUCGGCGGCUACACGCCGGAGCAAGCGAGCGGGCAGAGCGGCACCAUCGUGGACGCCAUCGGCAAGGGCGUGGAGCAGCUCAUCAGCCUGGGCGCCAUGUACGUGGUCGUCCCGGGGGUGCUCCCCGUGGGCUGCUUCCCGAUCUACCUCACCCUGUACCAGACCUCCAACGCCGGCGACUACGACCAGUACGGCUGCCUGAAGCGCUUCAACGCGCUGUCGGCGAACCACAACUCGCUGCUGCAGAGCAAGGUGUCGAGCCUGCAGGCCAAGUACCCAGGCGCGCGGAUCAUGUACGCCGACUUCUACAGCCACGUCUACGACAUGGUCAAGAGCCCUGGCAGCUACGGCUUCAGCACCAACCUCAGGGCAUGCUGCGGCGCCGGCGGCGGCAAGUACAACUACCAGAACGGCGCGCGCUGCGGCAUGUCCGGCGCGUACGCCUGCUCCAACCCGUCGUCGUCGCUCAGCUGGGACGGCAUCCACCUCACGGAGGCGGCGUACAAGAAGAUCGCCGACGGGUGGGUCAGCGGCGCCUACUGCCACCCGGCCAUCUCGGCCUAGAGCGAGCUCCGGGAAUCGGGGGGCUGGUUGGUUGGUGCUGGUGGUGGUGGUUCGUUAAUUUGCUGGCCGGGCCUCUCAAGUUAGGGGAAGGGGAAUCAGAUUAAUUGUAUUUGUUUAGAUGGAAUCGAAGCGGGCAAGAAGAUGAUGGAGGUGAUCAGCAAGAAAUAAUCAAUGGAAGCAUAGUAAUUCUCUCGUGUUCAUCAUGUGACACCAAUGCUAAUACCACUCGUGUAGCAUGCGAUUUUAUAAGGCUAUUUAUGCGUUGAAUUUGAAUAUAUUCGGGGGGCAUGGUGGCAUAAAAAAACCGUGCUAGUAUGAGUGAACGUCAAAGGGGUAAUCGAAUGGGAAAAAAAAAGAGCUUUGCUUUUGUUUUACAAAAGAUUGCAACCAGCUUAGCCCGAGACGUGCACCAUUUGAGUGUUGCGAAAACGCCGUGUAAAUUGUAAUCUUCAAAAGAGACUACUGCUUCAAUGGACCCUCUUUGGUCUUUGCCCUGAAAUGAGGAGAAUCUAUGAUGGGACAAAGGUUCCACAGUCUGGCUCUGGCAGACCAAAUUUUGCGGGCACCAAACUCCAAUCACUCGGCCAACCUUCAAGGCGUGCUCUGGGGACCCAAGCCCUACUUCAGUUGGCAAUUCGAAUAAUGGUGCGGCCCAGCAGGAAGUCCCGGUACUAGCGGGCCUCCCGCACGCUCGCUUUGCCGGCCGGGCCCAUGCAACCAAGGGCGGCCGAUCGCUGACGGUGAGGAGGCCCAGCUCACCGCAGCGGCGAAACGUGCCGUCCUUGGCUUCCUGUCUUCCGGGGGAACAGACGCGGGGGACCUCGUCACCAAGCGCCGGUCCGGCCGCAGCCGCACCGCGCGCCAUUGAAUCGCGCCGAUGCGACGACGAGCUCUGUUACGAGGGGAAGCGAGAUCGAGCCCGCCGCCCGGGUUUGCAUUGACGAUAUGCGAGACACACGCGCUGCCGCAACCCGAAUGCAAGCGUCCAAGCGGGCAUUAAACCGAGGCUAUCGCGAGGGUGGUUCGGCCGCCAGCCGAUCGAGGACGGCGAAGUUCUCACGGUGUCCACGAGCACGUACACGCACACACGUGGACACGCUCGAUGCAACGGGGGCCGAGACAAUAUAUAUAUAUAGCCGUGUGUGGACAUGGCCGUGUCCCGGGUCCCGGCAUUAUAUUCCUAAUCCGUCGUAAGCGGUCCGGUGUUUGGACAGACUAGAUUAGAUACAGUGUAUACGAGCACCACGCCAUGGAUCCGCGAGCUCGAGCUCUGGGCGGCGCCGUUGGCCUCUUGCUCGUCUCCUGCUUCCUCCUGGCUGGCGGCGGUGGCGUCGUCGGCGCCGGCGCCGGCCACAGCAGGUUUGAGGCCUUGUUCAACUUCGGGGACUCGCUGGGCGACACGGGCAACAUUUGCGUCAACAAGUCGGCGGCGGACAACUUCAUGCUCACUUUCGCGCAGCCGCCCUACGGCAUGACCUACUUCGGCCACCCCACCUGCCGCUGCUCCGACGGCCGCCUCGUCGUCGACUUCCUC